AACUAGUGCAGGGAGGCAUUUCUUAACCGGACGCCUGCUUCCUCCCUUUUGCCUCCCUCCCCGUCCCCGGCCAUUACUCCUCCCUCUCUUCCUCGCUAUAUAAAGGGAGGCCAGCCCUUCUUCUCCACCGUUCUUGCCACACCUCUUCUUCUCCCCUCUCCCUCUCCUCUCCUCUAGCCACCAAAAUGCCUGGCCCCAACCACCGCCACCGCUUCCUCCCGGUCUGCUGCCCAAGCUUCCCGGCCGCCGGCGAUCCGUCUCCGGCUGCUGCAGCCUCCACGGGGCGCCUGAGGGCGACCAGCAGCAGGAAGAAGCGGAAGCGGCUGAAGCCUCGCCCCAGCUGCGAGCGCCGCGGCGCUGCUGUUCUGUGACGGCGCUAUCCUCACCGAGCUUCUUCUACCACACCCUAUGCCCUCCGCUCUCUUCCAUAGCUGUUCGCCUCUCUUUGCUCCGGUGGGUAUUUCUCAUCCAGCUAAAAGCCAAGUCUUCUUGACCUUGCAAGACUUUUCGCUUGAAGAUGAAUUCCUACCUCGCAAUAUUCUUUCCUUCGCGCCUAUCUCUCCUCAUCUCACACCUAUCAAUCCUCCCAUCCCUCCUGUCCCCGUCUAUCCCUCUUGAGCUUGGAACACUUGCAGCUAGCUAGCCACUACUUUCGUGCGAACUCCGCUGUUCAGUGUACUGGAAAAGAAGUUAAAGUUUCUGAUGUAUCCCCGUGUCGUGCUGCCGUGCGUUGUUGCCUUUCAGCUACGUGCUUCCGCAUGAACUCUGCUAUUUGGUGUAAUAAAGUUAGUCGCCUGAUGUAUUUCCUAGUCGUGUGUUUGCCUUCCAGCUACUGUACUUUAGCAUGGACACUUUGGUAGUACUGGGUGUGUAGUGGAACUGAAGUCUCUGGUGUAUUCUAUAUUGUCAUGCAUUGCCUUGUUAUUUUUUGCAUUCCUCUCAUGCUGAUGUAGUCUUGUUGACCCAACUGGGGAGGAAGGACGAUAUAUACGGUUGGCUUGUUGACACACUGCGGCAUAUCUCAGCUGGCAUCUAGCUCCUGCUGUUAGUUCAUGUGAUCACGCUAAUAACAUGCAAAAACUCUCUUGUUCAAACGGAGCAGGAAAAUGCAGAGAGGACGACGACGACGUCACCCGCCGGCCCGCGCGCCCCGGCACUCUCUUGUGCGCCGUACGUGCCCUCGUGUGCUGCACCAUGCAUCUCAUGUACCGUGUCCCUAGACCCCAUCUACCGUACGUCGUCGCUGAUUCGGCAACGUGCGCAGUCGCUGAUUCGGCAGCACCGAUACCGAAUCGAUCCACACACCGAACCCACCACUGAGAACAACGCACGCCGGUUCCCCUCGAUCCCGUCGCGCACAACCCCUGGCCAUGCAGGCAGGACGCGCGGUUCCAAACGGCGGCGGCUUUGAGUGCGAGAAGCUCCUGCAUCGGGUGCGUAGCAGGAAGGGGCGAGAGCGAGACCCCCCCCCCCCCCCCCCCCCCCCCCCGGGGCAUGGUGUACGCGCGCGCGCGUGCGCGGGAGCCUCCCCGUGUCCCUCGCCAUGCCACGCAAUAACUUGCGCUCUGAAUGCGAUGCCCCAAGCAUGGUGGCGCCACCGCACGACGACCGACCGCCGGCCGUCGUGCCGAGCUGCACGCUCGACCGGCGUUCCGAUCGAUGCCUGCCUAGAACGAGCCAGGCACAGCGCGUGACCGGCCGCCCCCAUUAAUGCCAGCUCUGAAUGCCGCAUGGGCGUAGUGAAGCGUUCAAGGCCUGAAGCUUUGCAACUGCACCAGCACCACGAAGAGGCCGGGUCGUGUCAGCUUGCGCGCGCGUGCGUGACCGAUGGUGCAGCAGCGACGGCCCAUGCCGUCGACCAAGCUGGUGAUCGAUCCCUCGGCGCAGGCAUGGCCGUGGCGCGCCGGGCGCCGCGCUGCUCGCGGGCUCGGAAUACUGGCUGGCCCGGCAUGGCGCGGCGACGUCGGCGUGGAGCCUACACGGGAAUUGAAUGGCGCCUGUUGCCGUCGCAGCGCGCGCCAGCGGCAGAAGGGAUGAUUGAGGCGGGCGGAGCCGGGCAUUUUGCAUGCGACUGUGCACGCUUUGCUGCGAGUCUGAAACCCGGCCGGCAGCGCCAGAGCGAGACUUCACGUCAAGUCGCCAAGAGCGGCAGUCAGGCGUAAAUGCCAGAACAGUUAGCCAAGCCAGAGAGACGUUCCUAGCUACGUGACAGGACGGAUCCACUGUGCAAUCCUUUUUGCAGAUGGCAAAAACUUGUUAAACCAAAAAAAAAAGGUUGUACCGGUGCACGUAAGCAUCUGGACGAGCGAGGUGAUGAGGGGAUCAAACAAUCGAGACAGCGCCAGUAGGGACUAAUCACCAACAGUGACUCCAUUGCUGAGCAGACACUAAAGGCUGGGAAUGUUUUCGGACACAGCCAACAAAAGUGUCGCUAUCAUACACGGUUCUCAUUGCGAGGGCCGGGGCGGCAGAUCGCACCGGAUUCCAAACUACUACCGGCGCAUCUCCGGCUAGUGAAAUAACGCAGCAGCCCGACAGCGAGUGAAGAGGUAACAGGGCGUUCACCUGGCGUUUUCAUCCCCCGGUCAAAUUUGCGCGCCUGCGGUUUGCAGGGCACAGCGAUACUUUACCCUAGGAAUCGCUUUUUCGCAGUACGGCACAGCUGAACAAUCCGGACAAUCACAGAAACCAGGCAGCAAAUGGCAGCUACCAUUAUCUUGAAAGACUACUUAAACUUUGGAGUCCAGUUACAGAUGUAGUAGCAUACCAGGGCCUAAACGGAGCUUCCAAAGGGGUAAUGUAAAGAGGAAGAGGCCUAAACUGAUCAUUACGUUACGUGCUUCAACAUUCAGUAACAUUCAGUAUCAGAUUUAGCACACUAGGGCCUAAGCUGAUCUUCCAAAUUGAUGAACAGCUUCAGAAGAGGUAAUGUAAAGAGGAACAUACUGAUCAGUGCUACGCUGCUAGUCUGCUACCGAUAUAGUAACACAAAGUGAUCAUUACGUGCUUGAACAUAAGGAACAAAACUAUCAAGAUUUGAUGGAAAUGAGAACUGGUUACGAUCCGAUCGAGGCAAGAACUGUCUAAACUAAAUGAACAUUCAACCUUGAAUUCUCAUUGACAUGUGCUACUCCUACACUUUCCAGCACACACAGAAGGUUGGACCUCAGCAGGUAAAAAAGCUUUGAUUUUGAAAUCUUACCCCGGGAAAAGUACACGGUACACCCACAUUCAUGGGCAGUAUGUAAUCAUUGUCCUACCCUGAUUCCCAGCCAUUACUACAAUUCCAGCAUGUUGAAGACACAAAAGGCGGCAGUACAGGGAGGUACAGUCACAGGCACGAAAGGAUGCAAGUUCCAAUUCAGACGUUUAUACGCGAAUAAAAUGAGGUCCACACAACACAAGGCAGCAUGUGAGGUCACUGUAGCCAAUUAUUAGAACAGCAUAAGGAGGGCAUCACUAACAGUUUUGUAGCGACUGGUUGAAGGACAAAGGCAUUGACGAUUCUGAAAGCAGGAAUGCAGAAUGGAACAGUGCGACUGGCCAACGUGUUGACUAGUCCAAGGGCAUGUCUGAGGCAGUAGAUUCAGAGAGGUCCUGGAAACGUCCCGUUCUCCCUCUGCUCAUUCCAUUUCUCAACCUGGUUCAGCAAACAGUCAGCUGGUGACGAUUCCAAAGAAAGCAGACAUAACAGUUCUAAUUGAAAAAUAACAACGUAAUACAAAAAAUAAGCAAAUCGGCAAACACAAGAAAAGCAUCACAGGUUACAUUACGGGGCUGGAAGGUAGAAGGAACAAUAGGAAAAAUUAAUGUUGAAAACUAGAUCAGAGCCAAUAUGACAUGUGUUUGAAACCUUUGGAUAUUCAGUAUCCAUAUAGUAUCAUAUAAACUGGAUUUCUAACAUGGACAAAAUAUGAUUGCUUCAGUAUGGCCUCAGGGUGGAGUAAAUCUGUGGUAGCUUCUGAAAUCCAGCUAAUGUAUCUGAUGCACCAAAUGAAGGGCUGACCGCCAGUAACAGCAAUAGUAAAUCUACUGACGAAUAAUAUUAAAAAGCUUCAGUACAAGAAGGUGAAGUAAUACGCUCUUUCCUAUAGUAAUUCGGAGGUAAAGUUUAGUUUAGCUGGCACAGAUAUUUUCAUCUUCCGUCAUCAAGAAACAGCACAUGUUAUGCUAUAAUGACACUCCAUCGAGGUAUCGACAACAACUAAGUCCACUUUUAUCUUCCGACAUCCAUUGUCUACUAGAUGCAAGUAAGCAAAGUAAUCAUUCAAAACACAGAACCAUUUUUGCCUAAGACAAACAGCCACUGUUUAUCAUCAAAAACAGGGACCCUCAGAAUGUAUCGUUCAAGAGCUGCACACAUCAUGAAUUCUUGCAUGCAUCUUUACUGGCAACAAACAGAAGUGGAGGGGCUGAGAAGAUACAAAGCAAGUCAAGGUAAAUGUGUAACACCUCCUCUUGAUGUGAAUUGGACGUUAAAACAAGUCAAGGUAAAUGUGAGACCAUCUCUUCAUGAUACGCAUUUGAUAACAAAGCAAGUGAGUGUAAAUGCGCAAGUGCUACUUGUGACGUGCAAAUUCGCAUGCCCAUGCCACUAUUUGCAUGUGCAAGCAUAUCCAUGGCCAUACGUACAGCCUACUACAUGACACCUAAAGGUUACAGUCACUGGGAAGGGAGAAUAUUAUUGAAAAGCUAGCUCAAGAAGAGCCGGUUGACAACAAACCCCUGGCUGAGUCAGGACACUGAACAAAGACAAAGAUAACUAACUUAACUCAGGUUACAAGAAAAAACUAUUAGCUGAAUGAAGAUUAUUUAAAAUGUAUUACUCAAGGCAAGGGCUUCAACGUAGUUAGAUUAGAUCAAUCACAAAUGGUACGUCCACUGAAGCAUACUGAUAACUUCAUGAUUUUCGAGUCCAAAAGAAAAAGAAAAAAAAAUGGUGGUUGCAAAUUCAAUUAUCAUUUGUAUAUUACUCCCUCCGGUCCCUUUUCUAAGGCAUCACCGGAGCAAAGCCACAUACCAAGACAAAGGGUGGGAGCAUGCGCACGAGAUUAAUCAGCAUGCAUGCAAGUUAAAAGCUGAACCGUCCAUCAAUGAUAUGCAGUGGAAAAAAAAAGAAAAAGCUGGACAGACGGAUGACUAACUUGCCAUAAGCGGAUGCUUUAAUCAUCCCAUGCGUAUGCAAAAAUGCAUCAACUUCCUCCCAUCUACUUAAUCGCCUGCACCGGUAACUACGAGCGCCUAACAUACCGGCCAAAAGCAAAAAUCGUGGUAUGCCUUAGAAAGGGGCUAGAGGGUUGAGGGAGCACUUCAUUCAAAAAGAUAUGUUCCCCAGAAGCAUGGUUAACAAUGGCAGCAGUAAGGAAAAUGCACUCACCCAUUCUCCGGGGCAAAGAGACCUGUAGUACUUGGCAAAUUUGUCACAGUCGCCAGCAUCGUCCCCUUUGGCAUUCACGCACCUGAAUUCCAUGAAAGUUGGAGAAACUAGUAACAAAAAUAUGAUUGUGCACUGCCUAAAAAGUUGAAGAAGAAAAUGCUGACAAAGUAUAAAAGUUACAGUUACACAAAGUAUAUGGUUAUACCUGUGGUACUCAACAUAGCGAGUAAAACAAUGCCUUGUCUGGUUUGUUGUAGGGAAGCGGAAGUCCGCAGGUGCUGUUUUUAUCUCAAUCUGGCAUAUAUAAGCAAAUGAAUAAACUUGCGACGGACAAUAAACAACACACAAAACACUUCUACAGAGGCUGGAAUAAAAAGGAAAGAAAAAACAAAGAAGCAUAGUGAAAAGCAAAGUUGACAAGAUCGGCCUAUUUGGCUAUUUGUAUAGCUAAACUGAAAUGCCAGAAUGCCAUGAUCAUCUCCAAAAGAACAACUGGACUUUUCACAAAGCAUAGCAGCAUAGGAAAGGUAAGUUUUUCAUCAAUGUGAGGUGUGCAGGAAAGACUGUAGAUGCUAAAUGAUGAAAUGGGUAAUACAGGUAGGCGGCAGCAGUCAUGACAGAAUCAAACUAUUAUAAAUUACGGUCAGCAAUAUAACACAACAAAAAUUGUAGAGGAACAUAUUGUGGAAACCAGCAAGACAGCGACAAAAUGCAGUUUAAUAAAAAACAUACACAGAUUAGAGAAUACAUAUAGCACUACUGUAAUACUAUCUUGCUGCAACACUGCAUGGGCCAAGGAUGACUCCAGGAGUGGAAAUAUCAUUAUUUCAUUCUGACAUGUACCAAAUCUAUGACCGGGAUCGUGCAACUCUGAUGUCCGAAGUCCCGUGCAAAUUACAUUGUCUCUCCUCUACUUUUUCCUCUAUCUAAGACACGUUUUGUUCCCUUCCACUUCCACCGAUUCCUGUAAUAUACCGAGAAAAAGCGAAUGUUUUGACAUAGUUUCGGUGGUUCAAAAUCGAUACAAUCCCUCAAUGAGUAAUCGACACUCUGGGGGCAGGCACGAGUGAAGAAUUCCUCGAUGAAGCCCCGAAAUGCGUUUGCGAACCCUACCCUGAUACCCGCCGAAUCUGCAACCGCGGAUGAGGAGAUACAGCCCCGCAUUUCUGAACCGAUGAGGGAUCAGAAGCCAUCAUCAUGUUCCCGCACGAUCCUAGGAUCUCCUGCGUCGCCGCUACCUAUUCGUCCGAUCAGACUGGAUGAAUCUACCGGCGGCGACGUAACGGCGGGUACGCAGAGCUUGUUCAGGAAGGAUCAGGAGGGAAGAGAUCCGGCAGAUGGCGCGGAAGGGGCUAAGAGGAUCGCGAUCUCACCUCGGCCAUCGUGGUGCGGAGGGGGGCUGGAGACGGCGGCGGGUUCCCGGCGGCGCGCGGUGGGCGGGGAAGGUGGUGGCCACUUGGCUUCCGGACUCCGGUCGGGUCAACCUCGAUGGCUUUUGCGAGCCGGAACCGAGAGGAGGAGGGAGAAGAGAAGAUCGAGCCCACCAGGUACAGCCGAAAAUGUCGCGGCCCUUUCGGUCCAUCCAGUUAGCUGCCAACACAAGAAGCCGGGCCGUUCAGCCCACUUGGUCCAUGGGCAUGGCCCAUCAAGCAGGCUGCACGAAACCGGGCCGGUUGACGCCAAAUUCCUUGGGCCGGGCCUAUCAGGCCCGUUGUCGUUGGGAAAUCGCACGCGCAGGAAUUCUGGACUCCGACGAGUCGAUCUUGUUGAGCAUCAGCCAGCUUUCAGUGAACGCUGAUUUGUAGCAUACGCGACGACUACUAUGAGCCUGUGACGUGUGAGCGAGGCAAGUGACUGGAUCCACCCCGCGCCGGCCGCCCAUCCUGAUCGCCUCGGAGUCCAGCGGCACGAGUCCAAAAGCGGCUUUCAAGUUUCAACGAGAAGGGACGGAAGCCCUUUUGACAUUCGGCGGCGCAAAAGACAAAGGAUAAGGACGCCGUGGAAUCGCGGUGAGCGGGCACGUCUCCGCCACCGUCCAGCUGCACGGCCCUGGGCGCCCCCCGCGCUCGCCAGCCGCUGCCCAGCGGCGACGCGAAGCCACCAGUCGCCGCCACCUCCUGCUGUCCACGGCGGCGAUGCCGCGACGAAUCCAGGAGGGACGGACCCCCAACAACCACGCGCCAAGGACAAGCAAAAGGGCGACGCGUCGCCGCGUAGGGCCCACCUGUCACCCUCCCGCGCGCCCUCACGGUGACAGCCUGACCGGGAUGGGGAAGGUGGGCGCGGGCGAUUGGCACUACGUGAGCGCGGUCCACGGCAUCCGCGGCCGAUGCCGUGCCGAAUCCGCGCCCCGUGCGGUCCAGUGGACCAGGUGCCUCCUCCUCCACUCGAUCCGGGCGCUAUAAAUACACGGCCAGGCCCGUGUCCUCCGUUCUCAUCUUCAGCCCCCACCGCGUUGUUGGCUAGGAAUCGAUCCAUUUAGCCGUCCCCAAUCCCCAUCUCUUCGGUGUGCCUGCUUUCUCGGAGAGGAGAAGAGGGAGAUUUCUUUUUCCGUCCCCCACCCGCCGAUCGGGAUUUGAGAUUGUCCAGGCCGCUGGUUUCGCAGCGAGGUUCGGGCCUUCGUCGUGGGAUUGUAAGAUCCAUUUCCCCCGUAUGCUGUUGUUCUUCGAUCUAAUCUAGUGCUAUGAUGUUUGUUUGAUCUGGUAUUUGAUGGUGCUGGGUUUACUGAGGUUCCUCUUCUAGAUGUUGGUGGUUAGGAAAUUAUUUGCCUUUGACGAAGAAUUAGAUAGAUAGAUGAUGGUGAUCGUAUUUCUUUGCUGCGAUGUUAAGGAUAUCAAAUUGCCUGAAUUAAUUAUUCGUGGGAGAAUAUUGCCCAUAAUUUUGGAUAGGGUCUCUGUUCAGCUCAGAAUUUUGUGUAGAUUGUGUCUAUAUAUGUUCCAAUUAUCUUGAACUAUCUGUUUCGCCCGUUGUGAGUAUCAAUUUAUUCUUUUCUGUUAUGCUCCCAAAUUACCAGGAUUUGGAUAGUUUUGAACUAACUACAAUAGGAAUAUAGUUCAACAAAGAAAUUAGUGAAGUCUUUCUCUGAUUUUUAUGGUUUGCAAUCCCUGAUCUGUUACAUAUCUCUGUAGUUUCUCACCAGUUGAUCAUUCGGUUCUUCUCUGCAGUGAAAAUUUGAUGUGCUAAUGGAGUCCAAGGGUGGCAAAAAGAAGGCUAGCAGUAGUCGUUCCUCCCUGAUGUACGAAGCUCCCCUCGGCUACAGCAUUGAAGACCUCCGCCCUGCCGGCGGCAUCAAGAAGUUCUCUGCUGCUUACUCGAACGUAUGUACAAGACGAUUUUCCUUCAUUUUAUCUAUAUAAUUGCAGCUCUUGUAUGAUUUGGUGCUUACAGUGUGGAUUGUUUCAUCUCUUGCAGUGCACGAGGAAGCCAUCCUGAUAGCCCUCUCGUCGAUCCCGUCCUAGUAGCUUAGAAACCACCUGCAAUCAUUUUGAUCUUCCUAAAUCUCUCUGGCUAGCUGCUUUCUGGUGACCAAAGGGAUUUCUAGAAACUGCUUCCUGUCUUCCUCCCUCGGCUGUCUGUCAUCUUGCUUUGAAACAAUGGCAGUCCCGCAAGGUGCUGCUGCUGCCCCUCUCCCAGUCUCUGCAAUUGGGUUUGAGGGAUAUGAGAAGCGCCUUGAGAUCAGCUUCUCUGAGGCAUCUGUCUUCGCUGACCCCAACGGAAGGGGACUGCGCGCGCUCUCGCGCGCCCAGAUUGACUCUGUUCUUGACCUUGCACGGUGCACCAUUGUGUCUGAGCUCUCAAACGAGGACUUUGACUCUUAUGUCUUAUCUGAGUCAAGCCUGUUUGUGUACCCAUACAAGGUUGUCAUCAAGACCUGCGGGACUACCAAGCUUCUGCUUGCCAUUCCGAGGAUUCUUGAGCUUGCUGAGGAGCUCUCGCUGCCGCUUGCUGCUGUUAAAUACUCCCGUGGGACAUUCAUAUUCCCUGAUGCACAACCUUCCCCACACAAGAACUUCGCCGAUGAAGUUGCCUUCCUCAACCGCUACUUCGGUGGUCUCAAGUCCGGUGGGAAUGCUUAUGUGAUUGGAGAUCCUGUAAAGCCUGGGCAGAAAUGGCACAUCUACUACGCCACUGAGCACCCCGAGGAGCCUGUUGUUACUCUGGAGAUGUGCAUGACUGGGCUCGAUAAGAAGAAAGCUUCUGUAUUCUUCAAGACCUCUGCAGAUGGCCACAUCUCCUGUGCUAAGGAGAUGACCAAGCUUUCUGGCAUCUCGGACAUCAUCCCGGAGAUGGAGAUCUGCGACUUUGACUUUGAGCCCUGCGGCUACUCCAUGAACGCCAUCCAUGGCCCUGCAUUCUCCACCAUCCAUGUGACCCCAGAGGAUGGCUUCAGCUAUGCAAGCUAUGAGGUCAUGGGUUUCAACCCAGCCUCCUUCGACUAUGAUGACCUGGUUAAGAGGGUGCUGAGGUGCUUUGGCCCAUCUGAGUUCUCUGUUGCUGUGACCAUCUUCGGUGAGCGGGACAACGCAAAGACCUGGGGUAAGAAGCUGGAUGUAGAGGCCUAUGCCUGCAGCAACAUGGUUGAGCAGGAGCUGCCUGCUGGUGGCUUGCUCAUUUACCAGAGCUUCACUGCUACUGGCAAAGCUGCAGUUGGGUCGCCGAGGUCUGUCCUGCAUGGCUUUGGUUGUGACAGUGUUGAGAAUGGAUCUGAGAAUGGUGAGCUCGAUGCCCCCCUGUGCUGGGAAGAGGAUGCGGCGGAUGAGACUGAGGAAAGGGUAGCCAAGAAGCUGAAAUGCUGAUGCUGAUGUGAAAUGCUGAUGCUGAUGUGCUACUUUGGAGAUCGAAGAGAAGACCUGAGAGUUCUGUCAAGCAUAUUUGCUGCCCUUGGUUAUCUUGUGAAGCAGCCAAGCCAGAUUGUUUAUGCUAUAUAAUUUGUGUAAUGGUGCUGUGACGGCGCAUGCUUGUUAUGAAUAAUAAAAUGCUCUAGGUGGCCAGCUCUGUCUGCCACAGUGAGCCGAUGUGCCGGUAUUGUUUGUGAUAAACUUUAUGACUCGAUAAAGCCUCUGUUUGAUGAAAAUCUGAAAUAUGAAUAAAGUGUUUUUUAUGUGAUUUCAGUGUCACUUACAUAUCUUAUUCAAGUUAUAAUGGCCGAUUCGGGAGGCAUAUCAUCAAUCGUAUAUUGCCUUCGUUCAUGUUGAGUAUUUCAUUCCAAGGAGCAUGUUCUCUCUGGUCCGCGCAAUGUGAAGAGAAUGUAUGUAUGGCUGCGCCAAUGUUACGGGGCCGUUACGAACCUGAUGACUGACGUCUUUGGAACUGGAUUCGACCAUGGCCGCUGGUCGUGGUUGGGACGUUGGCAUCUGCUCACACUCAGACAGCAUCGUCUCGUAGCCACUAGCUUGCGAGAAUCUAGUUCUUGAUUAAGAUGGGCACUUCUCGUGGUUGCUGGAGAUCGGGGGCAACCGUUAACCGGUCCGGCAAAGUCGACUGGAUUACUAUGAUGGCAUUGCCAAAUGAGACUUCUCUUCCGGGCGUGAGGUACGUGGAGCUUGUCUGAACCGAGCAGCGCGAGGCACAUGUUCUGCAACCGUCUUCUCCACGUCCAUCUGGAAUCUUACGUCAUUACUAGGAGAUGACCAAUAAACUCAGCACAUGCCAAAUCAUGGAACCGAUGCAGACAGUGAUGCAAACAAAAGAAGACAGGAGGAAUGAAGUUGAUCGAGACAGUAGGAUUUAGCUAGGUCGUCUUUGCAGGGAUGAUCUUUUGCUUCAAGUAGUCUGUCUGGCUGUGUUGCGUUUGUCAUGCCUAGGCUGCUGGGACUUUUGCUCUUUUCCAACUCAAAAGGGUGACAUUCUUUUUUUUAAAAAAAAGCACUCAGCAAAUUUAUUCUCACAUACAUGGACAGCAAAAAACAUCACAUGAAACUUAACAUUAGUUGCAUCAGAAAAUCUGGGUACAUGGUUUCCACAAACCACCAACUGUAAACUGAAUGAAUUCCCUAUGAGAUCAAAUAAAGAAUGUGGUAGGUUACAACACAGAUGAGCAAUGUGAAAGAAUUGUUUCCAACCAAUGCAUAUAAAGAAUGUACCAUGAAAUUAUUGUACAGGACGAGCAUAUGCCUGCUGUUUCAGCAGGAGCUCGGGCAAUCAGAUAUCCGCAGCAGGAACUUCACUCACCAAUGUUGGCAUGCUUGUUGAAGAUACCGCGAGGGAUGUUCUCUUCCUCUUGCCGGCCCAGCAUAGCCGGAUUAUUUUGCCUUUACUUCUCAGGUUAAAAGCCUCUGUACAGUUGGCCCAGGGUAACAAAUGAGCCAUUGACUCCAAUAUUGGAGCAGAGCUGCGUCGUUGUGUGGGCGAAUGUUCCCUCAACUGUUCUUGCUCUGCUACAAUUGCAAGAUAGUUUUGAGUUGGGUUCUUUAUUUGACUGCCCAGGUAUCCCUGGCAGUUUAGUGCCUGGCAAUGGCACUUCACUUUCUCUCCAAAAUGCACAAACCUACAGAAAAACAAGCAAAUUAUUGUUGCUCAAAGCAAAGAGGAUAAAAUAUACACAGUUCAGUUUCAGAAAACGUUGUGUCCCCUCUGAAUUUAAUCCUGGUCUUUCAAAAACACAAGAAAAGUGUGCCAAUGUUUGGGUUAGCAAACUAAGGGUAAGGGCAGUAGUAGACUAGUAGUUGAGACUUGAGACCAGGAACCAACAGAAUAGUUAUGUUGAUUUCAGGGGGAAAACGUGGCAACAAUGUCUACUGCAACCAUUUAGCCAUAUGAAAUGGGCUGUCUAUGGCAUCUUUGAAAAACAUAAAAGCAGUUUGAACUUGUAACACCCUGUCCUCCAAACUGCACCACCCAACCCUUCCGAGGAGCGGGCACACGUACACAUAGCAUCCUACUUACACUUUUGUUCUCGCUUCGUGUAAAAAGUUUAACCCGAAGGUUCUAUGGCUGGAGGAUAAAGGCUUAUGAGUUGGCUUCACCCUUGCUCAACUAGUAAGGUGGUACUAAACAUGCGCACCUGCGCUCAUGGGCCACUACUAGGCCCAAAUUUGGGCCGGAUGUCACAGAACUAAAGCUAAGCUAAUCUCCCAUCCUGGCCUAUGUUUGUAAGCUUCAAGAUGCAUGCAAGUCAGAGAGCAAAAGAACAUUAAAAAAGCUAAAUAAAUAAGUAUCAUAGUCUCUGGUACGAAAGUUUGCACUUGUGAUUCACCACACAGAAAGGUAAAGAAAUGGUUCUUAGAUCUAAGAUUUUAGACUGGUAAAUAAUUGAUCACAUCAAAACACUACAAGGGGAUGCAGAUGCUAGUUUGAUCACUUUGGCGCCACCUUACCAAACUAGAUUUCACAAAUUUCUUUUGGUGUCACUGCAAUCAGCAGACUGCAGGGAGGCGUUUUCUUGUUAUCAAAUAUGCAGUGCAAGAAAAUAUAUAUUAGCCUUUUUAAUUAAGAAUGCAUGUCCUUUCAUAAGUGCAAUAGAACAAAAUAUUUGGUUGAAAUACCUGUAGUCAUAGGUUAAGGGAUCUCCAACUUUGACGGAACGAGAGGCGAAGACACCGACUCUUGUCUCACCGUCAACCUGCCUGGCAAAGCCAUAGAAACAAUCAGGAACGUGAUAUAACAUGAUUUCUUUUUCUUGUUCAAGAACACAGUAUUACCAUUUCUCGAGUUUACAGUUGGGGUCACAGCUGUGGUUUAGAAAACGUGAUACAUUUCCUUUAAAUGUCGCAUCUAUUGUAAAAUCUUUGCUGAUUUCGCACAUGUAGAAGUUUUUGUCACCACGCGUUCUUAUAUCCCAAAGCCUUUGUUCACAUAUGGCGUCGUCAAUGACUGAAAAAAUGUUUUAAACAAAGAGAGGAAAAAAAUGCAUGAGGCGAAGCUGUGCAACACAAUAAGCUUCACAAGGAUUAGCUCAUAAAUCAGAAGCAAAGCAGCAAAAUUUCAGUAAACCGAUUUCUCCAUUGACCAAAGGGUGAAUGGUCCCAGUAUGAUGGUAGCAUGAAGUUCAGAGAGGAAAAGCUGAACCAUAAACAAAAAGGGAAUGAUAAGAGAAACGUUUUAACACAAUGUACAGUGCUAUACUACAGAAGACUGAGGCACAAAUGAUGAGUAAGUGUCCCUGUUUUUAGUUGUAGCUGAACGUUUUUUUUUUCAAAAAUAAUGCUAAGUCCCCAGUUGGGAAAAAGCAUCAGGCAGCAUAUACUUUCAGGUUAGCCAUGAUAGCUAUGUGCUACCUUCAGUAUAUCUUUACAACUUGCAUAAGGCAACUUGCAAGAUUUACCUUGGCAAAAUUAUUAUUCAACUAAAAGAACCCUUGCAACUUUUGACCAACAAUUAGUUAACUGCAUCGAUAGAUUUGCAUUCAAAUGAAUUUUGAUAUCAAUUUUGUAGUUUUCGACAAUGUAUUGCAAGAGAAAUUAAAGGUCAAAAUCUACUUUUGAGAACUCCUAAAAAAUGCCUUCAUGUUGAUGAACAGAUGGAGUACUAACUUAUUAAGGGUACAUGGACAAUGAUAAUGGAAAGUUUGAGUAAUUUUUUUGGAGAGACAGAGCGCAUUAAAAUUUGCAUGGACAACUGCAUAUUUGAGAACAUAGCAAAAAUGUGACCAUAUUUGAGAACAUAGCAAAAUGUGACCCCACCACCACAAAUGUUGCGCGGAAGGGUCAUCUAUCAAGAGCUUACUAUUUCUGUUGGUUCUAUUUUUAACUAAAAUUAUAGCAGGAAAAUAAAACCUUACCUUCACCAACAUACUCAAUUACAAAAUCACCUUUCUCCAAUGGCUCCAAUGCAACAGCACCCCAUCCACAAUGCUCUGUCUGUAAAGGGAAAAUGCUGCUGUGGUCAUAAUCAAAUGAAAACUAAUGCUAAGUAAAAUUGCACUCAGAAAAAGAAUUAUUCUGGCAGCGCUAAACCACGCUACCUCUAUUGCCCAUAUGGAGGUGCAAACAUGCAGAUGUGUCUGAUUUUUUUUUCAUAGAAACAAUUGGCCUCUAUUGCCAAUAUGGAGAUGCAAACAUACAGGUGUGUGUGAUUUUUCUUUUUAUCGAACCAAGUGAACUCUAUCAUACAUGAUGCCAGGUCAAUUUCACUGAGCACCCUAUCAUUGGCACAUGUUUUGCAUCACAUACAAGGGGAUAUUCAGGUCUGAAUGUACAGGGUUUACUAUGGCAGCAGUAGAUAGUAAGAAACCUAAAGGCCUGAUGGAUGAGGGAAUCUGGAUCCACACACUUCUAUCCAUGGUGCAUUUAGCGACGUUUAAAAAGAUAUGUUGGAUGUUUUUGUAACUCGCACUAACUAAAAGUCUAACACUAAGGUAACAGUAACACUCCUGAUCAUAUUACCUUUAAUACCACUCCUAAACAAAUCAGUGUUUCAAAGAUUAGGCAACACCAACCUAUCACUUUGAUGCACAAACUCUUGAGAAAGUAUAAACUUACAAACUUAAAAAGUUUGAAAACUUUAAGUAAAACCAAAACAUGCAACGCUAUUAUGUACUAAAAGGAAAUAAGGAGUGAAUAAAUUGGUGGCAUAAGUUCCUAGAAAAGCAAGUAAGCACAUCAUGGACAAGAAAGCUACCUUAACAAUUUUAAUUUUCUUAUCCUUGCGGAAUGGCCUGUUGGUACAUAGAUCUGAGCAGCGGCAAUUCUUGGAACAACUCAUCGAAAGACCCCUGAUAAGUCAAAAUCAAAUUUCAUUGGAGGAAAGUAAACAUGUAUGGAUUCUAUACACAUCAUACAGAACUUCCUAAACGAUUAUGCCAACUUAUUCAUCAAAUAUUAGUAAUACAUGAGUGCAAACAUCCAUAAUAUGCACAAGUACCAGUGCCACUGUUCAGUGAAUAUGGUACUGCAUUUGCUUAGCUUAUAAUGCAGAAAACAAUAUGAAUAAUUGCUAAGAAGUAGGUGCUCAAACGUUUAAACUUAGGCCCAGGUUAAAAUGCAGGAAUAUUAUAAAAGUCCAAGUGGAGUGAAAACCAUAGGAUUAAAACCACAUGAAACAUGUGGGUAACAGGAUAUAUUAAGGGCAAGAUAGACAAUGAGGUUGGAAUGAGGGUUCAUUACUGUGGAAUUCCUCUAAAAUCAAAGAGAAAGGAAUCCUAUCUACCGAAAUUCUUUAUCAUUAUGAUGUUUCAAGCGCUCGAUAGUGCUCAUUAAAAUGAAUGGAAAAUCCUACAUUUUCCAGUGAACAUCCUAUUCCAAACAGCUUUUGCAUGGUCAGAGCAGCACUAUAACAUGGGAGUGAACAUCCUCUAAAGUGCGAGACAGCUUAUACACUAAGACUUUCCACAAAACACAUAGUACCAAAUAGCAUACAUAACAGAACCUUUUAAUUGAGGUGACAGAUGUGGAUUUUGUGCAAGUCUCUUGCAACCUGUAGACACAAUACCAAAACUAUAGAAGUGCACUAUAGGGGAAGACAACGAUAUAGACUAUAUCUUUACUUUAAAACAGCGCUAUAACAUGGUAGUGUUGAUACAAUCAGAUAACACAUGUUUAUGCCUUCUCUUUGCUAAAAUAAUUCUGGUUCCAUGUUUAGAACGCAUAUUUAAAUAGCAAUUCACAUGUCUUUGGCAAGCUUCAAUAGAGCAAGAACAAAUACCUGCAUUCACAAUCUUCUUUGCAAGUAGAAUCAGCUCUGCAGUUCGUGCACCCAGUAUCCACAUGAACACUAGUGCGCUUCUUUUUUAUCAAAUAUACAUCUUUUACAAAUGAAGGAAAUAACCAUGGUGUACUUGUGCAAGAAUGAAAAGCAGACAAACAAAAAGCUCAUCUAACUAUAUAGCUCCAGAAAGAAUAGAAAUCUUCACUACUGACAAGUAACGCUUUAGGAUACUGCGCCUGAUGGACGUAUAGGGGGGUGGCUUGUAAACAGCCUCAGAAAAAUCCCUAAUGGUUGAAUCAAUAUUGAAUUCUUCGUUAACAUAUGGAAGAGGUAGCCGGCGAAACACUUCCUAUGAAAUAAGCAUGUUAGUGUAGCCAUGAAUAACUAUCGCAUACGAAAUGCACUUCAUCGUGAUGAGACAGUAGUACUUCUACAGUUGUACUAGACAAAGUAAUCUUUUUUUCCUGAGGCUUUACAUCAUUAGAAACUUAACCAUGUUCCUCAUCAAAUCUUUAUUUUACUACACAUUCCAGUUGCAUCACUAGUACUAAAAACUACCAAAGUACAAAUAAAAAAAAUAGCCAUUAAUUCCAAAAAUGUGGUGUUUUCGACUUCCCAGUCCCCAAGAUGCAACAUGGCCAUAAGUUUUUAUAAAAGCAUAAUAGCAAAGAUCGUAACUAAAAGACGUAAUCAUAUAUGCUAAUAUGCCAACACUCUUGUAGUGUAGUGGUAAGCUCCCCAGUUGAGGGAGACAUCAACGAGGGUUCAAAUCCUGGUGGCAGCAUAAAAAACUCCUCGCCGCCAGGCUGUGGCACCUGUGGUUGGUUUGGGCCCUCCUACCAGGUGUAGUUGUAGUGGUUGCCAACCCAAUGGGUCAUGGUUGCGCCAGGUUAUGGUGCGGCCCUAUAGGGUGAAGCCGGGGUUCAAGGGUUUUCUCGGCCGGCUUGGCUGAGAUUUCUUUCUUCGUGUAAUGCCGUGGGGGUAGUCUUUCCCCCGCUGGUAGAGUUUUUUUAUAUGCUAAUACCAUUUCUAUGCGGCCAUUCAAAUACUUAUACACAUAUUAGUGGUCAACCAUGCAAACAAAUAGUGGAAAAAGUACUAAAACAUUAGUUUACACUAACUAUUUUUUUUCUUCUUUAAGAGUAGUAAAAGCACAUUCUGAAACCUACCCAGCAAUGCCAUUAUAAAGAUAGGCUGCUAAAGAAGCUCUGAAAAUGGUUUAUUCAAGAAAACAACAUGCACACUUUAUAUGAAUGAAAUAAUCAUAAAAGAAAAGAUAGCAAAGGUGCAGUUAUGUCAUGCUUGCACUCACCUCUAUGCUGUUGGUAAAGUCAGCAUUCUGUCACCAGCAAACAAAGUAUUCCUGUCAGCCACCUCAACCAUUACAAAUAUUAACAAAAGGGUGUGUGGGAUGCAUUGUCAUAAUAUUGUCCAAGCUAAACCUCAAAGGUAACAUAUUCUUGUUUGGUAUUAAUCUUCCAAGGAUCUAGAGAUGAAACAAAAAGAUAGUUGGAAUGUAAUGGAGGAAUCAGCACUGUGCUUGGAGAAAACACAAUGAAUAUGCAUGCAACUUUUUAAAAACUCAUACUAGAAAGUUUCCCUCUUGCCUGUUUAUCAAAUUAGAUUGGAUAAGCUGUUAUUGUUUCUUUCAUAUAUGACAACAUGAAGUGAGCAAUUUUAAGGAAAAAAGGAUAGACCUCAUUUUGCAGAAGCCAAUCGGAAGGAUGCCUCCAGCAAAUUGCACUUCCUCGAUUGUCUUUUAGAUGAAUCACUGGCCAUGGUGCACAUUUCGUAUGUGCUGCAACUGUACAACGCCCACAGCGCCAAAAGAACAUCUUUUGCUUACAAACCAUACAGGCCUAAGAAGCAGAAAGUUAAACAGAUGUCCCUAAUGAUCAAGUAAUGUAACCAAUCCAAGGACAGGAACUGAAAUAAAACAUAAUUUGAAAAACAAAAUACAGGUGCAUCUACUGCAAUAGCAAAACCCAAGUUUAUUGCAGAUAAAUCUCUAUAUUAUUGUUGCAUUUACGAUAUCUACAAUGCACACUGCAUGCCUUGCCUUCCGACCGUCAAAUCUUGCAAUCAUAUAUUGAACGUAUCAUCCACUAAUAUGAAAAAAGGAAUAGCUAGAGAAGAGCAUAAUAUAAAAAAUAAUGACACUGGAGUAUGAUAAUCAGAGAAGUUUGAAAUUAAUAUUAUAUCUAUAGUUCUGACUUGUAUAUUUGGUAAAAUGUUACAUCCCCAAUGCAAAGUUGCACAAAUUGAAAAGCGCCCCAUGCCAUAAAAUUGGAACUUACAUGUUGAGGGCACCUGAAGCUUUCAGCGGUGAAGUUUGAAGUACCUUUCACAACACAGUUAAGAUGGAACACCUUUGGACAGCGAGCAACCGAACAUUUUAUUUCUUCUCCAGCAUAAAUAGUCUUGGAGCACAAACAGCAUUCGACCUUUGCACAAACGAAGAAGGUAUGAGAUGCUAACCAGAUGAAAGGAACAGAGAAUGGAUCCUAAGUCAACGAAUAAGACUAAUUACUCCUGCUGAUCAAAAUUAUAAUCCGUUUUAGGAUUCCUAACAAUCAAACUUUUCAACUUUGAUCAUCAAUAUAAUAAUUAAUAAUGUAAGAUUGAUCUCAGUAGAUUCAUCAAGAAAGCAUUUCCAUAGCACGCAAUCCUUUUUUUAUUUUAGGUAUAAUAUUUUAAUAGAAAUUGCUAGUGAAAGUUCCACCCUAUAGAUCACAUCAAUGUCCUAAACAACUUAGAUUUAUGACAGGAGGGAUAACUUCAGAAUUAAUGUAUUGCAGUUACAAAUUUUAACUGAUAGAUAGGCAUACUAAGUAUGAUGGGUUUAAGUUAUGGGACAAUAAGCAAUUCAGAGGUAGAAAUCUUUAUAAAAUGGUUGCAGGCUUUGUAUCUAGGGGAUCGUCUCCAUUAAAGGAUUCAGAAUGUUGCAACGUUUCAAAAAAAAUUGCAUAUAGUAUUUUACAUACAGAUAAGUUAACUGUUAACCUGUAAAAAAAUAAAUGUCAAAUCCAUCCUAGAUGCCAAUAAACAAAAUAGACAAGCAUUGCUCAUCAUGUGCUAACAGUACCACUUGUGUUUCAUCAACUGUGAUAUUACAGAUGAAUCUGAAAUUGAAUUUUUGCUAGUUUCUUUGACUUCAUAAAGUAUGUACAUGAUUUUUCAGAUUUUUUUAAGAAACCACAGAAUGUUGCAUUAAUAGUAUUUUCACUAGGGGCAUGCACUAGAACCCUGGUCACCAUCACAAUUUCGAUACAUUUUUACACAUAUCAUAUUAUCUUUUUGCCUGUCCUUGGGUUUCAUCUUUAGCCUAUCCCAGUUUGCUUGGGACCAAAGGCAAUGUUAACCCACCAUAUUUUCUACUAUCUGCCCAAAGCUAUUUGGAUAUUGUGGCUUUUCGGAGUCUCUUAUUCUUGGAGGAAACUUUGAGCAUUAGCUCCCGACCUCCCAUGGUGACAGAGCUGUAAAGCUAUUAAGUUUAAAUUUGAUAUCAUUUUAACAACAAACAUACUAGCACUAUUUUGAUAUUACCAAUGCACAUAAUUGAAAGUAUGUCACAGUUAAAGGAAAACUGAUUGCAAACUGUCAAGAAAGUCUUAAAUCUCAAAUAAUAAGUGACUAAAAGGAGUGAAACACAGAAACAGACACGCACGCACACAAUGAUUACAUAUUAACAAUGCUCAGGCGUAGAUGUAAUUGUCACCACAAUGCUAAAGAAUUCCCCGGAUGGACCUGAAUUGCAAGAACGAAUAAGCGUUCUAGCUGCGUUUUGCUUGAUCCGCCCAGACAUAAAGAGUCUUGAGUUAAAUGGGAAUUCGAAGUGAGCUGAAACAAACAUUGGUCCGACAACGCGAAGCACUUCGAGCAAAAAUCCUUACCGCCUUUGGCGCGCCGGUGAGGAAAGGCAGCACGCAGUGGUGGGCAGGGACGCCGGCCGCUGUCUUCCUAGCCACCCACUCGCUCACGCGUUUCUCGAGCAUCGGACCCCGAGCUGGAGCCUGCGCCCGAGACGUCCCGGGUGACGGAGCAAGUGACGGCUUCUUCCCACCGCCACCGCCACCGCCACCGCCGCCGCGCCGCGCGGCCGGGCAGGUGGUCGCAGCGUCCGCGCCCCCCAUGUCGAAGGUGCGGACACGGCCGCUCCAUCGACAUUCCAUUGGAAGCAUGAGGGGGCCGCCGCCGCCGUCCACAGAGGCAGGCGAAGACGCGGACGCGGGCGCCGCGUCGAUCGAUGCGGCGGCGGCGGCGGCAUCCCCGGCGUGGUCGUCGGCGAGGUCCCCCGCGGCGUCGACGGAGAGUUCGGGGAAAGGAGGGAGGUAGACUGUGCUCAGAUCCGGCAUGGCCGCCAGCGGGGAGGGGCUGUGUGCUAGGGUUUGGAGGGCAUUGGGUAUGGGGUUGGUCGGAGACGUGGAAAUGGACGGAAGACGUGAGCACCGGGGAAGAAGAGGACUCCUCACUCCCGUGUCUCGCCAGAUUUGGGAGCCAUUUUUUCUGAAUUUUUAUUGACUUUUUCUCACACUUUUUUGCUUCAUCCGUAGUAUUUGCUUCAAUAUUAUUAGAGUAGUGGAAAUCGUUUUUUGCUUCGACAGCUGCUAAUUUUUUUUUCUUGUGGUGCCAGUUGAAUUGCAGGGCUUGCUCAUUUUUCACUUUCAGGCAGUAUAAAGAUUCCACGUUACUUAACUAAAAUUGUGCUUGCAAUAUAAUAUACAAUUUCGGGAUGCGUUUAUCGUAUUCUUUUCGUCCGCUAAGUUCUAUGAAAAAAAUACUAUUGAACAUGGGGGAUUGAAAUUGAUUCCAGAUAACUUUGAAUUUUAGGAUAGUAAUUUUAUUUAUUCAAUAAAAGGGCAAAAAUAUUCAAAAUAAAUGAUAGAUAUACAGGGAAAAAAGGGCAGCUAUAGGUAAUAUAUUGAAUCAACCUUAAGUUUUUGAGGCUUUCAAAUUCUUUUACUUCGAGGCAGUAUAAACAUUCCACGAUACUGAACUAAAAUUGUGCUUACAAUAAUAUGCAUUUUCGGAUGCAUUUAUCAUAUUCUUUUAGUUUCUAAAAGAAGCCAUGGCUCAUGUGAAAAGCUGAAUCAAAAUCCGAAGGCAAUAACUUGUGUGUUGUUGAUGCCCGAUUAGUUUGAAUAAUGAUUGUCUAUCAAUGAUUAUCGUAAUGAUAAAAAAAAAGUUGAGUUGGCAAAGAUUCCCUCGUGCUACUAUGUUGUAGCGUAUUUUGUCAAGGAUCCACACCAUUAUAGAAAAAAACACGGGGACUGGAAACAUGAUUCCAGAUAACUUUGAAUCUAUUGAAUCAAACCUUAAAAUUUUCAGACUUUCAAAUUAUUUUACCCAAUUAUUAAUCAGUCUGAUAAAUCAAUUUUCUAGAAAAGUGGAUCUAAAAAAAACCCAUGGGCCAUGGCAUAUAUGCCAGGGCGGCUUGUAAUAAUGCCAAGUCGAGAAAGAGUGGAGGCUGGGCCCGCUUGGGCGGGCCACGCAGGGAGCGCGGCAAGGCUGCGCGGGAAAACUAGCCUGUGCUAGUGAGGCAUUUACGAACGGAAGAACUGGCGCGGCCGCACCAAAUGGCAAAUGGGCCCAUGAUUCAGCCAUGAGGCAAAGGCAAGACGACGCGCGCGCGCGCGCGCGCGGAAGUGAUGUGCCGCUGCCGGCCGACCCGCGUCAGAUUUUUUUCGGUGGCUCCCGUUGGAUUUUUUUUUCUCCCUCCCUCCGCGGAGGUACGAGGUGGUCUUUUCUUUUCCCUGCUGCUCCCACGGUGUCGCACGUCCCGCGAGGCGUCCGACGAGAGGAAGAAUGAACAAGAAGCAGGCCACAAACAGGAGCACACACUGAUGAUUUGACGAUCGCAUUACAUGCAAUUUCGUCCCGAUGAAUGCAGAAGCUUUAAGGCUUACGCGGAGGCAGAUAGGCGAGUGUUUUUCCCCACCCAAACUCAAAGACACAUCCCGUAUUCCCCGUACCCGAUUGGCCGAUCACAGAACUGAUCUCCUGAUGAGCCAUGGAGCUAGUCACUUUUGCAAUAGAAUAAGGUUAUGCUACCCAUCAUGCUAACAUUACAAUGCAGGGACAUAAAGAACCGGAUGUCAGCACGAUGCAAAUAUAUGCCGAAUGCUCCAGGUAUCAGCAAGAGUAUCUGUAAAUUAGCUAGUCAACUUGACGAUUGCAUCACAAGCAACUUUUGGAAAACUGUAAAUUGGGCGUGUUGAUCGGCAUCAUUAGCUGAGGCAUUCAAUGAUUCGUCACGGAGAUCUUGCUCAAGUUCAUAGUCCAAACCUUGCCUCCCAAAGUCAACCAUUUUUUUUGCAGGGAAUUCAUAUUAUUUUCCGGUGAGAAAUAAGUGCAAAAUGAUUAAAUGAACUCGAAAAUAGAGAAUAAGGCAUUGUAGCGGGAGAUCCCAGUUUCAUAAUGACUUUUUGGCAAAUCCAUUUGCGGGAUGGCUUGAGAUAAGUUUUACCUCCGUGAUACCAACCACAUUAUACUAUGAUGUUUGAAUCCCUGGCAAAAGAGCUUGUAACAUACAGAGCAAAGACGUUUGAAACCUAAAAUUCUUCUUGUUGUCAAUGAAAAAAGCAAGUCCAUAUUAAUCACUAAGUAAGCACUCUUUGCACACUUGAUGAUACAAAUGAAUUGGAACUCCACUUUAUUUUGGUUCCAUGUUUUUUGCUUGGGCACCAUGUAGAUUUUUAAAACAGCAAUACACAAUACGUAGAAUAACCAUAUUUUAUAGAAAGAUUUUAACCACCUGGUAAUCACAAGACUCGGGUGUCUAAAUUAAUACUAAAUCCGUAUGAAAAUGUAGUUGAUCUUCUGCCAUGGUACAAGCUAGAGGCAGCAUGCGAAAGCAACCGUCAGAUCGAACGACCAACGGUGCGUAUCGAGGCGCGGUUCUCUUGACAACCAUCUGGCACGAGGAUUACAGUUUUUGAUGAUUUGACGAUUGCAUUUCCAGGAAAUUUUGUAUUGAUAAAACUGUAAACUAGUUCUUUUGUUAAGAAGCUGAACUAGUUCUGCUAGCUGCACAGGAUAAAUGCGACGCAAACAAGCUUAAGCGGAAGUAGAUGAUGAAUUGCUUUUUCCACCCAAACUGACUUUUUUUUUUCUUUUGCAGGAACUGAACAAUAAUUUAAAAGCUAAAGAAGCAUCUCAUACCCGAUUGGUGCACCAACACAGAACUUACUCCUGAUGAGCCUCGGUCAAUUUUGCAAAAGGCUAGUACGCCCGUAUUGCUAACAUAGAGUGCAGGCACAUCAACAGCUGACUCCGAACACGAUACAAAUUUACAAAUAUAUACCGAACACUCCAAGUAAGAUAUAUCCAUCUAUAAACAGAUAUAUACACAGUUUUACCAUCCAGAUGAAAUCCACCGGUUACAUCAGCACAAGUAUCUCCUGGCACGCAGCUGGAUACAAGGCUAGGAUAACAGAACAGCUUACAGAGAGUUAGUUAACCAGGCGUGAACUCUGAAGCUUGUCAACUUCCUUCUUCAACCAUGGACCACGAAGUUUUGGUGCAUAACAAAGAAACAUCUCCCGCUUCAUGACAUCCAUGAAGACAUCAGAGGCGAGGAUCUUGAUCCCAUCUGGCACAUCAUCCAUGGCAUCUAGCACAUCCAGGCAUCUUGAUAUAGAGUAAUCUUUUCCUUGAUUUGCUUCUUGUUCGUUCAUGUUAGCUCGUGCGCUUCUGGACUCUGGAUGAACUGACCCGGUGUCCUUGCUGCAAGGCGUCUCUACUAUAGCCUUGUGUUUCUUGAAUAUUCCUCCCUUCGAUGCACUCAAAGGUCUUUCAGUUACAUGCUCAUCACUUCUUUGGCCUUGUUGAUCACCAUCAUUAGCUGAGACAUCCAAUGAUUCAUUCACGUUAGCUUGUACACUUCUGAACUCUGGAUGAACUGAUCCAGUCUCCUCGACACAAGGCGUCAGCGUCACUGCUAUAACCUUGUGUUUCUUGGAUAUUCCUCUCUUUGAUCUGGUCAAAGGUCUUUUAGUUACACGCUCAUCAUUUCUUUCGGCUUGUUGAUCGGCAUCGUUAGCUGAGACAUUCAAUGAUUCAUCAUGGAGAUCUUGGUCAAGUUCAUGGUCCAAACCUUGCCUUCCAAAGUCAACCAUUAUUUGCGUGGAAUUCAUAUUAUUUUGCUCUUCACCAAUGCUUGCAACAUGUUGAGCACUGGCACCAAUGGUUGCAUUGUGUGGGCGUCUUGUAGCAAUAGCUGAAAGCACAUAGAUAUUGUCCCGCAUCAGAGUUUGUGUUUGAAAAAAAGAAGAGGAUUACUGGAAAGCUAUGUUUCCUGUUAAGCACUAGGAUAUUAACUUAGUUUUGAACAAUAUCACACCUCUCUCAAGAAUAUUUUGGAAAAUGUACAACUUUACCUUCACACAUGAGAUCCAAUGGAUGAGAUGGCGGGAGAUGUUGGUGUUCCAGAAACAAGCACUUUGGUACCUUAUCUUUACACCUCCUUACAGGCCUACAGGAUUUAUUAAGUGAUCAAAAUAAGUAGGAGUGAUGAACUGUUAACUUAAAUCGACAAAAAAGGAGGCGUCAUUUACAAAGAAUCUGAGAUGUACUAAAGGCAACUUAAAAUCUUCUAAACCUUCUUAUAAGUUAAAUCUAAAAACAGGGGUUUCUUUUGCAACGAGUCUGAGAUGUACCAAGGGCAACUUUAAAUCUUCUACGCGUUGUUAUUUGUGGAGUGUCUUCUUGGUACACAGCGGAGCAAUGGCAACUUUUCCAAAAACUCACUGUCAAAAAACUAACUUUUCCAAAAACUCAACAAAAUUCCCCUGAUAAAUCAGAUGAAUUUAAUGUCACCUGACAAAAUGUACAAUGCUAGAACCUAUAGCCUCUCAUCGUUGCAACAGUAUAUAAUAAAAUAAAUUGUUUGAAGUACCUGUACUCAUAAGUUAAGGGCUCUCCAAUUUUGAUGGCACGAGAAGCGAAAAAACCAACUCUUGUCUCACCGCUAACCUGCCUGGCAAGGCCAUAUAAACAAUCAGGAAUAUCGUACAACAUGAACUUUUUUUCUUGUUCAAGAAUGUAGUAUUACCAUUUUUCUAGUUUACAGUUGGGUUCACAACUGUGGUUUAGAAAACGUGAUACGUUUCCUUUAAAAGUUGCAUCUAUUGUGAAAUCUUUGCUGAUUUCACACAUGUAGAAGUUUUUGUCACCACGCUUUUCUAAAUCCCGAAGCCUUUGUUCACAUGUCGUGUCAUCAAUGACUGAAACAAUGAUAAGAAAAGGAGGGGAAAAGAAUUAUACAUGACGCCUUAUACGAUACAAUUAACUUCACAAAAAUUAGCUCGUAAAUUAAAAGAAAAGCAGCAAAAUUGCAGUAAAAUGAUUACUCCAUUGACUAAAUGGUCCCAAUAUGAUGAUACCAUACCGUGGCAGAGAGGAAUAGAUGAAUUAUAAACAGAAAAGGGAAUGAUAAAAGAAACAGUUGAAUACAAUGUACACUACUAUACAGUAGGUUCUAAACAAAUUGUCUCCAAGCCUCCAAUGCAUCACAAGUCAAAAGACUAUGCGGCACAAAUAAAUGUAUAAGUGUCUCUAUUUUUAGUUAUAGCUAUGUUAUACAUGCUUAUGAUUAUUUGCACAAAAUAUCCCUUCAAUAUUCAACCAUUGGAUUAUAUAGCUGGACAAAUGCAUUAAGCAAGAAGCCCAUUCAAAUGAUAGGCAUGUGCCUUUGGUAGCACUUUACAACUUGCAUAAGGUAAUCUGCAAGAUUUUACCUUUACAAAACUAUUUUAAAAACUCAAUAUAAUCUAAAUGGCAUUAGAACUUCUUCACGAGUUUUAAUAGAAUCAUACCAUCAAGCAUGGUAGUACUAACUUAUCAGUACUAGACCACAUAUAAUGGAAAGUUAAGUAAUUGUUUGGAAGCACAAAGUACAUGAAAAUUUGGGUGGAACUAACCAAUGAAAACGUGAAAAACUGCAUAUUUUGAGAGCAUUAGCAACAUGUAACUCCAAAUGUUAUGCAGAAAGUCAUCUAACAAGAACUUGCUAGUUGCGCUGGUUCUAUUUUUUUUUUAAGAAAACAUGACCAUGAAAAAAUAACUUACCUUCACCAACAUACUCGACUAUAAAAUCACCUUUCUCCAAUGGCUCCAAUGCAACAGCACCCCAUCCACACUGAUGUGUCUGUAAAGGGGAAAUGUUGCUGCAUUAUAAUCAAAUGAAAACUAGUGCCAUCUUUGACUCUGAGUAAGUAAAACUGCACAACAAACACAAAACUCUCAGAAAAAAAAUAAUCACUCCCACUGCACUAAACCAGGCCACCUCUAUUGCCCAUAUGUAGGCGCAAGCAUGCAGGUGUGUCCAUUUUUUUGUUUCAUCCAACCAAGUGACCUCUAUUCUACAUGAUGCCAGGUCAACUUCACAGAAAACCAAAGGGCCAACAUCAUUUUGCAUCCGAAAACAAUACAAGGGAAUUUUGAGUUUUAAACGCACAGGGUUCACUAUGGCAUCAGUAGAUGGUAAGAAAACCAAAGGGCCCCUGUUGAUGAGGUGAAUUUGGACUUAAUCUUUAGGGUUUGGAUCCACACUCCCCUAUUUACAUAGGCCAUAAGAGUGCUUUAACGAUAUUUAAAAAUAUACUGGAUAUUUUGUAAACCACACUAUAUAGAAGUCUGACAUUGGGUAGCAGUAACAACCACAGAUCAUAUGACCUUUGCUACCACUCCUAAAUAAUUUAACAAUUAAAAAUUAGACGCCACUAGGCCAUCGCUUUGAUCCACAAACUCUUGAUCCUAAACAAGUUGGAAACUGCAAACAUAUAAUAUCAAAACAUGCAACACUAUUUUGUGCUGAAAGGAAAUAAGGAGUGAAAAAAUUGGUGACAGUUCCCAGAAAAUCAAGCAAGCACAUCAUUGACAAGAAAGCUACCUUCACAAUUUUAAUUUUUUUAUCCUUGCAGAAUGGCUUGUUUGUACAUAGACCUGAGCAGCGGCAAUUCCUGGAACAACUCAGGGAAAGAGCCCUGACAAGUCAAAGCCAAAUUGGAACACCAUUUUGGAGGAAAGUGACGUGUAUAGAUUCUAUAUACAUCAUAUAGAACUUUACCAUCAAUCAUGCUAACUUAUUCAGCAAAUAUUAGUAACACACAAGCGCAAACAUUUAUGAACAAGUACCAAUGCUACUGUCCAGCAAAUAUGGCACUGGUUUAAGAUGCAGGAAACAAUAUGAAUAAUUUGUUAAAAAGUAGGUAUUCAAAUGUUUAAACUUGCCCAAGUUAAAAUGCAGCAAUACUUUCAGAUUCCAAGUCAAGUGAAAAAUGUUGCAUUGAAAGCCACAUGAAAAUUAAGGGUAACAGGAUAUAUCACCUCAGUCUUAUAUGAGCGAGAUAGAAAUGAAGGUUCAGAUUACAGUGAAAUUCCUCUAAAAUCAAAGAGAAAGGAAUCCUAUCCAGUGAAACUCUUUUAGUCAGUAUGAUAUGGAUUGACUAGGGAUAGAUGGAAUAGCAGGAAGAACCGACUAGUCACACUCCUCUAGAGGCUCUGACUCCAUUUUAGGAUUAUUGUUGUUCAUCCUAGAGUUUGCCGGAUGCCUUUCUUUUACAGACCAGCUCCUAACAUAUGUGGCUAACUGAUUCAAUUAAAUGAUCAUAUCUAAGAAACCAUCUAAUAAACUGACUAAUACUAUUUUAACCUUCACAUGUUUCCUUGCCAGACACACAGCUAGUUUGCUGCAUUGAUGCGGCUGUUGCCUAGCCUUGCAUUAUGGAACCAGUGGUCCCAGGCCCAAUGGCCGAUCCAUAACACAGUAUGAUGUUUCAAACGCUCGAAUAGAGCUCAUUCAUAUGGGAUGGAAAAUCGUACCUUUUUACGAUGAACAUCCUAUGUUCCAAAUAUGCCUUAGCAUAGUUCUAACAGCACUCAACAUGGAAGUGAACAUGCUAUCACUUAAACGUUUCUAUGUCAAGGUUUUCCGCAAACUACAGUAUCAAUACUCCCUCCAGUCAUUAAUACUUUAUGUUUUGGACAAACAAAACAUACUAAAACUAGCUUGUUUUCUUUCUCCAAAACACCAUGUAUUCAUGACUGGAGGUAGUAGCAUACAGUGGACAGGAUUCCUUAUUUGAAGUGACAGAUGUGAAUUUUGUGCAGUUUUCUUGCACCAUUCAAACACAACACUUAACGAUAGAAAUGCAUUUCAGGGAAAGAGAACAAUACAGAGUUACAGACUAUAUCUUUAAUUUAAACCAGCACUGCAACAUUUACCGUUGAUACAAUCAGAUAAUGCAUGUUUGUGCUUUUUUUUGUUAAAAUAAUGUUGGUUCCAAGUUUCGAACACAUUUUUAUAAUAAAAGUUUUGCACAAACAUUCACAUGUCUUUGGCAUGUUUCAACAAAGUAAGAAAGAAUACCUGCAUUCACAGUCUUCUUUGCAAGUAGAAUAAGCUCUGCAGUCUGUGCACCCAGUAUCCACACGAACACCAGUGCGCUUCUUCUUGAUCAAAUAAAUAUCUUUUACAAAUUAAGGAAAUAGCCAUGAUGUAAUUAUGUAGAAAGAAAAGCAGACAAGCAGAAAGAUCACCUAACUAAACAGCUUCACAAACAUAGAUAUCUUCAACAACAAGUAAUGCGUUAGGAUACUGCGCUUGAUGGCCGUAUAGGGGGGUGGCUUGUAAACAGCAUCAGCAAAAUUUCUAAUGGUUGAAUCACUGAAGUUUUUGUUAACAUAUGGAAGAGGUAGCCGGCAAAACACUUCCUAUCAAAUAAGCAUGUUAGUCUAGCCAUGAAUAAAUAUUUUGUAGGAAAUGCACUUCAUCUUGAUGAGACAAUAGUACUUGUAUACUAACAAGGGAAGAAAAAUCACUAAUUUUUUCACCUGAGGCAUUAAAUUGUAAGGAAAUUAACCAUUUUUCUCAUCAAAUAUUUAUUUUUUAUGCAUUCCAGUUGCAUCACUAAGUACUAAAAACAAGAUAAGUACGAAUAAGCAAUAACCCAUCAAUUAUAAAAUAUGUGAUCUUUUGGACUUCGUAGUCCCCAAGAUGCAACAUGGCCAAUUUUUUUAUAAAAAUACUAGCAAAGAUUGAAACAAAUGGCCGAAAACACAUCUACUAAUACCAUUUCCAUUUAGCCAUUCUAAUACUUACAAAAAUAUUAGUGGUUAACCAUGUAAACAAGAUGUCCCAAACAUUACUAAUAAAAAUACAAAAUUAACCUUUUUCUACUUCAAGAGAAUAAUAAAACACUACUAAACAAUACAUUCCGGAACCUACCUAGCACUGUUAUUACAAGGACAAGCUGCUAAAGGGAGCUCUGAAAAUGAUUUAUUGCAAAGGAAAGUUAUGUCAUGCGUGCGCUCACCUCGAUGCUGCUAGUAGACUCAGCAUUCUGUCAUAAGCAAACAAAGUAUUCCUGUCAGCCACCUCAACCAUUACAAAUAUGGAUAAAAGGGUGUUUGGGAUGCAUUGUGAUAAUAUUUUCCAAGAAUAAAUCUCAAAAGGUAACUUAUUCUUGUUCGCUAUUAAUAUUCCAGGGAUCCAGAGAUGAAACAAAAACACACUUGAAAUGUAAUGGAGAAAUCAGCAUUGAAUUUUUAUUUAAUUCUAUACUAGAAAAUUUCACUCUUGCCUAUUUAUCAAAUUAGACCUGGAUAAACUGUCAGUAUUUAUUUCAUAUAUGAAAACAUGAAGUGACUGAUUUAGGGGGCAAAAAGGAUAGACCUCAUUUUGCAGGAGCCAAUCAGAAGGAUGCCUCCAGCAAAUUGCACUUCCUCGGUCAUCUUUUAGAUGAAUCACUGGCCAAGGUGCACAUUUCGUAUGUGCUGCAACUGUACAACGUCCACAGCGCCAAAAGAACAUUUUUUGCUUACAAAUAAUACAACCCUACUAGGAGACAGAAAGUUAAACUGAUGUGCAUAAUGAUCAUGUAACGUAACCAGUACAAGGACAGGAAUGCAUAAUUUCAAAAAAAAUGAAAUCCAUAAUUUCAAAAAAAAUGAAAUCCAUAAUUUCAAAAAAAAUGAAAUCCAUAAUUUCAAAAACAAAAUACAGGUUUAUGAUAAAAGAAAUUAUGAUGGAGAGGUGUAGGUUAUAAUAAAUAGAUGGAGAGGAGUAGGUUAUAAUGUGUUAUAAUCAAAGAAAUUUAAAUCAUUUUGGCAAUUAACAUUCUAUUCAGACCUCUCUGACUUGUAUACUUGGUAAAGUAUUACAUGUUAACUAAUGUGAAAUAGUGCAAACUGAAAAGCACCUCAUGCCAUAAAAUUGGAACUUACAUGUUGAGGGCACCUGAAGCUUUCAGUGGUGAAUUUUGAAGUAUCUUUCACAACACAAUUCAGAUGGAACAUCUCUUGACAGCGACUAACUGAACAUCUUACUUCUUCUCCAGCAUAGAUGAUCCUGGAGCAUAGACGGCAUUCGACCUUUGCACAAAUGAAGAAGGUAUGAGAUGCUAAGAUCUUGGGAGAUUAAUUCAGGAUUAAUGAGCUGUGGUUUCAAACUUUAACUGAUAGAGAGAUAUACUAAGUAUGAUGAGUUUUAUGUUGUGGAAUGAAAAUAAUAAGGAAUUCCGAGCUAGAAAUCCAGGCCCCAUACUCUAUAAAAUAAGGGCGGGGUUUGUAUCUAGAGAUAGUCUCCAUUAACAAAUUCAGGAUUUUGUGAUGUUUAAAAAAUUGUCAAAAAGAAAUUAUGUCUAUAUUACACAUAAAGUUAACUGUUAAUCUGCAAAUAAUAAAUGCCAAAUACACCCACGAUGUCGAGAAAACAAAACAGACAAGCAGUCAGUCUGGCAUUGUUCAUUCAUCCUGAGCUAACAGAGUACCUGUUUCUCUAUCAUGAUAUCAAAGAUGAAUUCAAUCUUGAAUUUAUGCAAGUUUCUUAACUCUGUGUACUACAUAAUGUUUCUUCAGAUAUGUUUAUAGAAAUGCAGCAUGUUGUAUUAAUAGCAUUUUUGCUAACUGGGAAGCUAUAACCCCUGGUAGCCAACUAAUUUCCCAUACAAAUUUAUACAUAUCAUAUUAUCCUUUUGGCUGUCCCUAGGUUUGAUCUUUUUCUUACCCCAGCUUGCUUGGGAUUGAAGCUGUUGUUAAACCACCAUAAUAUCUACUUUCCUUUUCAGAGUCUUACUCUUGGAUGCAAUUUUGAGCAUUAUAGAGCUGUAAAGUAUAAAUAUGAUAGCAUUUUAAUAACAAAUAUAAUAUAGCAUAUUUCGAUACUACCGACGUGCGUACUACAUAACUAAAAGUAUGUCACUGCUAAAGACUGCAAAGCUGAUUGCAAACUUUCAGAGUGUCUUAAGUCUCAGCAAGACUAGAGCGAAAUGUACAGAAAAGAACACAGUCAAAACCUAUGAGUUCUAUACCCAUCACUCAAGCGCAGGUACAGUUGCCGAAAUGCUUAAGAAUUUGAAUCGCGGAUUGACCUGAACUGCAAGAACGCAUUGCCAGUUGCAUUUUGCUUGAUCCGCCCAGACAUGGAGUCCGAGUUAAAUGCUAAUUUUAGUUUUAAGUAAGCUGAAUCAGACAUUGGUCCAACAACACGAAGCACUUGGAGCAAAAACCCUUACCGCCUUGGGCGCGCCGGUGAGGAAAGGCAGGACGCAGCGGCGGGCAGGGACGCCGGCACGCAUCCUCCGCGCCGCCCACUUGCCCACGUGCUCCUCGAGCGUCCGAGAGUCUCCGCGGCGGUGGCCGUCGGCGUCCCCGUCGGCGUCGAGGGACAUGUCUGCCAUGCCGACUGGACGGGAAGGAAGGGGCUGCGGUUGUUAGGGUUCGGAGCAAUUUGACAUUGGAACUGGGCGGAGACGCUGAAGCGGAGUGGACUACUAGAGUGUGCUGAAGCGAGAGGGGGGUUUCUGCCACAUAUUGCAACUCUUUUUUUUUUCAGGGGCCGUAAAUAUCUGCCAAUUUAACUUGGGCGCGUUCGUGACUGAGGGUGGACGCCGGAAGCUGAACGGUCCGGCUCCAGAUCCCGAACAGUGCAAUCAAACACUCGUGAAAUGAGCAACACACGUCUGAAUUUUACCUUCUUUAUACCAAUUACAUCCUAUUUAGAAUGUUUAAAUUUUAGGUACAGUACUAACAUCAAAUAGCAGAGCAAAGACUUUUGAAAUUGAUGAAUUCUUGUUGUUAACGGCAAGAGUGAAUAUUGAAUUAGCAUUCUUUGUCCACUUGGUGAUUGAGAAAUUGAUCCCGUUUUAUUUAUAUUUUUUUGUUUCAUGCUUUUGCUUGGAGUUUUGGACACCAUUCGAAUAUUGAAAUAAUUCAAUCAGCAGUAUAAUCUUUUCUAAAAAAAGGCAGCAUAAUUAUAUCUGAUAGAAAAAAAUUUAACCCACCUAAAAAAUCACUAGACUCGGUGACUUAAGUAUAAAUCCCUACGAAAUGCAAUACUCGUGAAAUGAUCUUCUGCCAUGGUUACUCGAUGAUCCAAGAUAGGGGCAGCAUGCAAAAGUAGCCGUCAGAUCGGACGAUCGACGGUGCAGAUCGAGACGCGGUUCUCUCUGGACAGCCCAUCUUCUCCCCCUUCGCCGUAGGGUUUUUCUCCUCACUUUCUCUCACCAGAGCCGCCUCCCCCCACGCAGCCGCCGCACGGCGACGGCCGCCAUGAGAGCCCUCGUCUCCCUCUUCCGGAUCGCCCGCCGGCUUCCCGCCCCUCUCGCCGCCGCUAGGGCCCCAACACCGCUCCUCCUCCGGCACCUCCAUGGCGACGCCCCGCCGCCGCCGCCACCCCAGGACCCGCCGCCCUUCGUCUCCCGCAUCCUCCAAUCGGAGCCGAGCCUGACCCCGAGCGCCGAGGCGGAACCGGCACCCGACCCGUUCCUCGAUGAGUUCCUCGCGCGCUUCGUGGCCGCCUUCCGCCCGGAACUCGCGGCGGCCUUCCCCGACUACGACCGCGCCGUGCUCGACGAGAUGCUCCGCCUCGUCGCGGACGCCGUGGUGUGCCGCGUCACUGGGGCCGACCCGGGGCCUGACGCCGCCGAGCUCAGCGACGACCUCUGGGCGGCCGUGUGGAAGGUCAGCGCCUCGGUGCAGGAGGCUAUGCGCCGUGACCAGGUCCGCGCCGACCUCCGCCACUAUCUCCACUGCGACGAGGUCAAGGAGAUGACGCGGUUCGCCGUCGACGUCGGCAUCCGCGGCUCCAUGCUCCGGGAGUUCCGCUUCAAGUGGGCCCGCGAGAAGCUCGACGAGGUCGAGUUCUACCGCGGCCUCGAUGACAUGCGCGCCAAGGCCGAAGCCGCCGCCAACCCGGCCCCUGCGCCGGUGCGGAGGCUGACCGCUUUGCCGAAGAGGAAGGGGGAGGUGAAGUUCACGAUGUACGGGUUGGACAUGUCUGACCCGAAGUGGGCCGAGGUUGCGGAGCGGACGGCCGAGGCUGAGGCACAUUUUGUGCCUCAGGAAGCCAAGCCUGUAGAAGGGAAAGCGAAGAAGGCCGAGGAGCAGCUGCUGCGGGUCGACCCGAGGAGAGGAGAUCCGGUGCCUGCCAUGGAGGAGUGGAAGGAGGAUCUCCGGCCAAAGCGAGUUGACUGGAUGGCGCUGCUUGAGCGGGUUAAGGCACGCAAUGUUGAGUUGUACCUCAAGGUGAGAUCUUUGGUAAUCUUGAAAGCUUGUGUCCAUCAUUCUGCGAUGUUAGUUUAGUAGAUUUUUUGCAGGAUCCAGAUCUCCCAGUGAAAACACAUAGUUACAUAAGAAAUUGUUUGAAGCAGAGUUUUCAGUGAGAUAGUUGUGGACGAAGAGUGGAGCUAACUUUUAUUAUCAUAGGGCAUACGAAUCAAUUAUCACGGGCAUAAUCAUAUAACAAUAUCUGUACCUGGACCACCAUAUCAAGGACUAUAUAUGCAUUACAAAAUUAGAACGCAGUUCGAAUUUAUUUCAUUUCUUAGAGAAAAGGACAUUGCAUCAACUAUAUUUGAGGGACAUAGGGACUUAAGGUGUAGUCCCUCCAUCCAGAUAUCAUAGGCGUGUUUUCCCUCAGCACUGGUACCAAUUCUUCGCUUAAACUAUAAACUGACUCAAACACCCCUAUUUAGUUCCUUAAGUAACCUUUAAUAUAUUGCCAUGCUGCCUCAGUGCUAGCUGGCUGCUCUAUGCAGCAUGCACAUUUAAGCAUAGAGGAGUAGUGACCAAGAGCGCAAGAAUUUGCAUGGAGUAGCACAACACGUCUGACAAGCAUGGAUAAUGGCUUGAGAAAAAGACGCUCAAGAUAUAUGGAUGGAUGGAGUAUCUAGUGGGAACCCAUUUCGUCCUUUGAAGUUUGAACCUAGUGAAACUAAACCUAUUUAGUCUGAAAUUUCUGAAGUUAUCUGUGGACUUACUGGAAUUGGAUGCUACAUUGCACUGUAACAUUUCAUGCCAAAUUUGAUUGCGCUUGAUUGAAGCAGAAUGACAAAGUUGAGGUCUGCAUAAUGAUUUAUGUUGUUCUCUAAUGCUCCAUUGAGCUGCUGCUGCUACUUAUCAUGUCUACCAGAUGCAAUCAAGUUUGGUCAUGAAUUUUUGGGGAUCAUUAUUCCCAUUCACCUACAUACCACGAUAUAACACUAGAGCUUUUGAAGACUUCUAUGUUCACGCAAUUUACUCUCCUAGAAGGUGAUUAUCAUUUGGUAAAAACUUGGCAGCAGUUCAUGUUAAUCCUUCAGUAACUUGAUAGACUCAAACACAUUGGGUAAUUUGAUAUCUUCACUCACUCGCAUGCACAAAAAAUGUUUGAGUCAGGCAUAGGCAUUUAAAUAUGUGAUUACAUUUAAUCCCAAGGUUCUUAGCAAUAGUUAGAUAUGUUACAUCAAUUUUGCAGUUGCCUUUAAAAAAGUCAUCACACCACUUCAAUUUCUUUAACAUAUGUUCCAUGUUUGAAUUUACAGGUUGCUGAAAUUCUGUUAGCUGAAGAAUCUUUCGAGGCAAACAUCCGAGAUUACUCAAAGUUAAUUGAUCUUCAUGCUAAAGCAAAUCAUGUGGAAGGUGCUGAGAUAAUACUUGGUAAAAUGAAAGAGAAAGGUGUUGCACCUGAUAUCCUCACAUCUAUCACGUUAGUCCACAUGUAUAGCAAGGCAGGCAAUCUAGAUCGAGCCAAGGAGGCUUUUGAGUUUAUUCGGAAUGAGGGUUUCAAACCAGAUCUGAAACUCUUCAGUUCGAUGAUUAAAUGCUAUAUCAGUCAUGGAGAACCAGGACAAGCAGAUAAUUUGCUAAACACUAUGAAGGGCAUGGAUAUCAAAGCCACCAGAGAAAUGUACACGGAUGUGAUACGGGCAUAUGCUCAGCAAGGCAUGGUGGCUGCUGCCCAGAACGUUCAUAGGGCGAUGCACUUUGCCGGAAUUGAGUCUACGCCAGAGUUGUUCACAAUGAGUAUAGAAGCAUAUGGACGCAUUGGUGAUCCUGAGAAUGCCUGUCUCGUGUUUCAACACAUGAGGAGAUCUGGACACGAACCGGAUGAUAGUUCUAUUGCCGGUGUGGUGGCUGCGCACAUGAAGAAGAACCAAUUAGACCAGGCUUUGCUCUGGCUGCUGAGUUUAGAGAAGGAAGGACUUAAACCUGGUGUCAAGACGAACCUCGUGUUACUGGAUUGGCUAUCUAUGUUGCAGCUAGUUCCGGAGGCUGAACAGCUUGCGCGGAAGAUAAAACAGCUGGGAGAAGAACCCAUAGAAGUCCAUGUGUUCCUUGCUGAUAUGUAUGCAAAGUCACGCCAGGAAGAGAAAGCCCGCAGAUCCCUCAAGAUGUUGGAAGAGAAGAAGAAACUAUUGAAGGCUGAUCAGUUCGAGAGGAUUAUAAGAGGCCUUCUGGACGGUGGAUUCUCAGAGGAGGCCAAUAAAUACUACAAAAUGAUGAAAUCAUUUGGCUUUGAACCAUCAGAAACAAUCGAGGUUGGUGUUAAGGCCAGUUUAAGGAUGAGGGGUGGGCUUCGUCCCACUGGUAGGCAUUGAGGCUAGGGCUUGUAUGCUGGCAGUGAUCUGCUGGGCACGCAAGCAGGCAGUGAUUCUGGUCAGAGAACCUUGGAGGUAGCACUGACAACGGCACAACCAAAUUGACCAAACUUUCAAAUGUUGGAAAAUAGGUUGGCCGAAUUCUUUUUUUGUUAUCCAUCGUCUCGAGGCAUGAAAAUGCUUCCACAGAUUAUAAAGUUGAUAGGUGCUGGUCUCAUGAUUUUGUUGUUUGAAGCGAUCAGGAUUUGGACUUGUUUUUGGUGAUUGUAAUGCCUUUUCGGCUUCCAGACAGACAUACCAUGAUGUAAGUUAAUAAUAGUUGACCAGAAUUCACAACUGUGACUCAUUAUUCGGUAAUAUAUCCGCUCCAUUAUCCUCCCCCCCGGCGCACACGUUAGGUGACAUACUAAUAUGGGCCCUCUCGUCCCUUUUUUUGGUUUGUACCUGCAGGCCCGAUACAUGAUGGGCUAAAACAGAGGCAACAUUAGCUCGGGGACAUCGUUAAAUCGCGGCAAAGUCACAGGACAUAAAAAAGGUAGCUUUGCCAUUGCACACUCUUCAACCAUGGUAAUAUCCGCCGGACACUUAUACUCUAUGUUUUAGUCAAUUUUAAUUUCACGUUCGACCUCAAGAACCGUUCCCGCCAACCUUUAUCCUUUCUAUCGCUGACUCCCUCCCUCCCCCUGACUUCUUGCGCCGCCGCCGUCCCCUUCCCGACGCGCAGGCCCCCCACCGGCGGUUGUUCCGGGGCGCAGCCCCACCCCGCUGGGGGUCCGUUCCGGCGCGCCGGCCGCCCGCUGGAGGCCCCUCCCUGCGGGGGCGCAGAUUGCCUACUUCCGCGUCAACUACGCUGCCGUGGUCGCCUUCUCCCUCGCGGCCUCGCUCCUGGCGCACCCCUUCUCCCUCCUCAUCCUCCUCUUCCUCACCUCCGUGGCUUCGCUCAUCAUCUCCGGGCUGCUCGUCGGGGGUGCCAUCGUCGCCGCGCACGGCGCCUGCCACAUGCCAGCCUCUCCCUCGAUGAUCCGAGCGCUGCGUCCAAUGGCAGCACCACCAGCAGGCUGCUAUCCUUCCGCGCGUCGCUCGGAUCUGGGGUUUGACGAGGAAUUCAGUAGAGAUCUGGCCCUGUAGCUACAAAGAGCUUCUCGUUCCUGUGGUACUUAACUGUGAGUAGCUAUGGAUAUGCAUAUCUGAUUUUGGUUCUAAAUUGUGUCUCGAAUAAUGCAAAGAUCUUGCGAUGUGUGGAUCUGGCAUUGUUGUUUGAAAUAUUGAUUAAGGGGUAAGGGUAGUUCUGUCCAAAAAUCAUGUUUGGAUACCUGUUCGAUUGAGAAUGUUAUUAUAAAAGCUACAGUGUCCAGCAGCGUAAGCAUCGGCCUUCGCUUCAGCUUAUAAGCCGGCUGAAAAGCUGAAACAGCUAAUUUGUUGUGAGAGGAAAAUACUGUUUGGUGACUGAUAAGCCGACUGGAUAAGCUGAAGCGAACAGGCUAUGGUUGAAUGGUGGGUUCCGGUAAAGCCGCUCUUUUUUAUUGGUCUGUGGUAAAAGCCACGGUUGAACUGCGGUUUUGAAGUUUAGUUCCUAUCGCAUCAAAUGUUUAAAAACAAAACUAAUUAUACAGAUGGAUGCUAAUUCGCGAGAGUCAUGAUUAAUACAUAUUCACUGCAGUAUCACAUUGUCAAAUCACGGACUAAUUAGGCUUAAUAGAUUCAUCUCGUGAAUUAGUCUCUAUCUGUACAAUUGGUUUUAUAAUUAGCUCAUAUUUAAUCUUCCUAAUUAGUAUUUAAGCAUUUGAUGUGAUAGAACCCAACUUUAGUCCGUGGAGCCAAACAUCCCAUCCAUCCAAUGCAACUUUAGUCCGUGAAACUAAACAUACCAUCAAACAGUUUGAUGCACUGUAUGGGCUUUGGAUUGCGCACUUAAAGCCCAAGGUCUGGAAGGUGGCCCACUAACCAGCCCACACCGCUGGCGUCGCGAGGCACCGAGGCACGCGAACCCGGCCGUCUUCCGCGCCGGCGACCAUGAGCCGUGCCACCCGCAGUCGCCAGAGCCCUCGACACCGGGGAGUCGGGGAUCCCCUCCCCCGGUUCGCCGUCGCCGCGUCCGCACCGUUUCGAUCGAUUACUGCAUGGCGCCAUCCCUCCCCGCCUUCGACUUCUCCUGCAGCCCCUGCACCCUUCCACGCUGCGCUCCCCCUCGUCCUCUUCCUCUCCCGACGGAAACCUGUCUCGCGCUGAAGUGAACUCGUUGCUCCAGUGGAACGCAGGGGGGGGCAGGUGCCGGUGAUCAGGAUCUACAAAUACGGCUCCACCCCUGCGAGCCAGAAGCUGACUUGCCUCCACAUCCCCCCCGGGUGCGUGCCAGCAAGUUAUCUGUGAACGUGCUUGUCUGUCUGCAUUUUCCUUUGUUCAAACUUCAGAGCCUUCCGGUGCUUGUCCGGCAUCAUAAGGCACGUGCACAGCUCGGACAUGCGGUUCUGUUGUUUGCAUUUGAAUUUGGUAUUUGGAAGGAACUUGCUUAGCACACCAAAGUGGACUGUCUGGGAUGCUGUUGCUUGUGUCGAUCAGGAGUUUGAGGUUAUUCAGUUUGUUCAUAUCGAUUGGUGAUUUGUUCAUUCUUUUCGUAACUUUGCACUUGCUUGUACCCAUUGGUUUCUUACUAGAACUGUAGUUGAAUUUUACCCAUUUAGCUAGUGCUGCCUCUUGAAAUAGUAAUGCAAAUGAAUCUCUCUGAAAUACUUUGCUCUUUGAGACACUAGUUGAGCUUAAGAUUUCCAGCUCAGUACCCAUGUUCUCUGCCCUGGUAAAAUUUUCACCGAGUGAUCUGGGCUGAAAUUUAGGCUGAUCUUUAGUUUUUUUUUAAAUAAACAUGUCUUUGCUUUUAUUUUCCCAUCAUGUCCAUGCUUUAGUUUCUUUAUAAUAUUUCACAACUGUUAUGUGUUUCUAUUUUCCUUUGCAGUCAGAUUUUCUUGAAUGUAGAUAUGCAAACAAUGAUUUGUAUGUGGUUAUAUUGUUCUCACUUCAUGUACUUGGAAUCUCUGAUGUGUGAAAUUACUUCAUUUGUCCACCUACAUUUUCCCUGUGAUUUUAUCUCAAGCUAUUUCAUCAGUCCCUGAUUGUCUCAACUAGUUUGUAAAUAUCUACUCUCUCUUUGGUGUUUAGGUCCUGCAAUAUUUGUAUAUAUCGUGUCCCAAGGAGCUGCUCUAUAAUCUAGAAUAAGGUGAUUUUAGCUUCUAACAUAUGUACCCUGGUACAGAUUGGAUAUCACUUAUGCUUUUUAAUGUUUUUAUUUUUGGUGCCACUUGUAUAUUCUUCUUUUGUUCUACAUGGUGUUUGUAAAUUUAUUAGACAGGCUACCUGAUACAAUUCUAUCCAUGUGCACGCAAAUUCUUUUUGGGAGUUUCUUAUUGCCUUGUAUUGAGCUUUUAAGCGGUGUUUGUUGAUUUUUUAUAAACAUGAUUUGUAACAGAAGGGAUCACUUCUUCUGGUGUUUAAAUAUUAGUAACUUGAAUUUACAACAUACUCCCUUUGUUCUAAAUUACCAUUCGUUUUGGCUUUUCUAGAUGCAUAACUUUUGCUAUGUAUCUAGACAUAAUCUAGGUACAUAACAAAAGCUAUGUACCUAAAAAAGCCAAAGUGAAUAGUAAUUUGGGAUGGAGGGAGUAGUUAGUUGUCAAAGCCUCAGAGGUAGACUAGACAUUACUGUCGACAUGGCCUGGCUGCCUAUAAAGCACCUGCUAAUUGUUUAUUGGCAAAAGAGCAACCAUGUCUAGCAUCAAUUGCGCUUGUGAUCAUGCCAGUAAUCUUUUGUGAGCAGAUGUACUCAUGUGAUCCGAAAUUCCAAAUGCAUACACUCAACUUUAACCGUAAGAAACCAUUUUGUCCUGACUCCUGAUGCAAUGCAGAAAAUGGGCAGGGUCCCUAGCACUUUAAAGGAACACACACGCACACAUUCGCUCACCUGGGCUUGUUGGGCUGCACAGUCUAAUGUGCCACAUCUUGCAUUUGCUGAUGUUUGGGUGGAGCAGAUAGAUGGGGAGUCCUAUUUGCUUAAGUUUCCCGAUUCAAUUUCAUAAUUGGAGACCUAUACUUUAGAUGGGGAUUCAGGGUUUCUUCAUUUUUUUCAUAGGGGCUAAAGUAGCUGUAUGUUUGGAUUUGCAGUGUGCAGCAUGGAUGCCUUGAGCAAGCUCGUAGUGAGAUUUCACUUCAACGGGGAGUUCAUAAAUGAUGGCAUGAAAGUGCAUUAUGUUGGUGGAAGGGAUGCAAUGUCAUAUAUAAAUCGUGAUAAGGUAUCUUUGGCAGCAAUUGUUGGGCAUCUGCGGGACCACUGCACGGUUGAAGAUGGUGCAUUGGUGCAUUGGCUAUUCCCAGGGAAAGAACUAUAUGAUGGACUUCGUGUACUCACGGAUGAUAAGACAUGUUUGCAGAUGGCUGAUGCUAUUAUGGAAGGAGAGGUGGCAGAGAUCUAUGUUGAGGCGGCAGCAGCAACAGAUGGAUCAAAUGAUGAAGGUGGUCAAGGAAGUGGAUUUGAGAAUGAGCAGGCAAUGGUUUAUGUAGAUUCUGCUGAUGAGGAAGGUGGCCAUGGUGAUGUAGAAGGAGAUGAUCAAGGUGAUUCAGAUGAUGAUGACGUAGCUGGGGAAGAUGCAGUAAUUUUGAUAUCUGCAAAACCAGACUCCAGGGAAGUUGCGGAGAGGCAGAUCAAGAAGCUUAAGGAGUUUCACAGGAGCCCAAGUAAGAAAGGGAAGGAUGCACAAGUGAAGAAAGAUAAAGGAAAACAAGAAGAGGAGAAGCAGGAUGAAGAUGAGCAUUCUAGCUCAGAUAGUGACUACAUGCGUGGAGAUGAUUCAUCUUCAGAAGCAGACAAUGAGGGUGUUGAUAUUCUGAGGAAAUUCAAGGACUUUAAGAAGGAUUUGAAAAGAGGACAUAUUGCCUCACUUGAUGAUGUUGUUCUGGAAGGGUCGACUGCUAUGCCAGCAGGUUUUGAAGGAAGCCAAGACGAUGGUAGUGAGACUGCAUAUGCUCAAAGCAGUGAUGAUGCAGACUCAAUGAAUGAUUUGGAUAGUGAUGGAGAGUUAAGUAGGAAGGACAACAGCUUUACAAGGUUCAAGGAGACUACAGGAACACCCAUAUUUGCUUUGGGCAUGUUGUUUAAAAGCAAGAAGCAAUUCAAGAAAGCCAUUAUCAGGUAUGGUCUGGCUGAGAGGAAAGUAAUCAAUUUCAUCAAGAAUGAACCAAAAAGGGUUAGGGCAAAAUGUGAUUGGAAGGCUUGCCCUUGGGUCUGCCUUCUUUCAAUCAACUCUAGGACUGAAAGUUGGCAGAUAGUGACCUUCAAUGACUACCAUACAUGCCCCCCUAGAAGAGAUAAUAGGCUUGUUACUGCAAGAAGGAUAGCUGAGAAGUACGAGAAGUUUAUAAUGGCAAAUCCAACUUGGAAAUUUGUAAGCAUGAAGCAGACUGUCCAAGAGGAGAUGUUUGCAGAUGUUUCUAUCUCUAAAUUGAAGAAAGCAAAGGCCAUGGUCAUGCAGAAAGCCUUCGAUGCUACAAAAGGUCAGUACGAGUUGUUGUAUGAUUACCAGUUAGAGCUUCUGAGAAGUAACCCAGGGAGUACAGUCAUAGUGACGAAAGAGCCAGGUGUGGAGCCACCCACCUUUCAAAGGAUGUACAUCUGUCUUGAUGCAUUGAAGAAGGGAUUUCUUGCUGGUUGUAGAAGAGUAGUAGGUUUUGAGGGUUGUUUCUUUAAGGGAGCCACUAACGGGGAGUUGCUAUGUGCUAUAGGGAGAGAUGCCAAUAACCAAAUGUAUCCAAUUGCAUGGGCAGUGGUGGAAAAGGAGACAAAUGAUUCAUGGGGUUGGUUUUGUGACCUUUUGUUCAAGGACCUAGGUGUUGGUGAUGGGACUGAUUGGGUCUUCAUAUCUGACCAAAAAAAGGGAAUUCUAAAAGCAGUCAGCUAUUGGGCUCCUCAAGCUGAGCAUAGGAACUGCGCUAGGCACAUCUAUGCAAAUUGGAAGCAGCACUUCAGUGACAAGGAGUGGCAGAAGAAGUUCUGGAGAUGUGCCAAGGCUCCUUGCAUUAUGCUGUUUAACCGUGCUAGAGAAAGGCUGGCAGGUGAGACUAGAGAAGGAGCUCAAGCUAUACUCAACACUCGCCCUCAACACUGGUCAAGGGCUUGGUUCAGGUUGGGGUCUAACUGUGACUCUGUAGACAACAACUUAUGUGGGUCCUUCAAUAAGUGGAUAGUUGAGGCUCGGUUUUUUCCUGUCAUCACCAUGCUGGAAACCAUCAGAAGGAAGGUUAUGGCUAGGAUUCAUGACAACAGGACCAAGUCAGAGAGUUGGGUCACCAAGAUCUGCCCCAAUAUUUUGAAGAAAUUGAAUGUCUACAUCACUCAGUCAGGCAAGUGCCAUGCAAUUUGUAAUGGGGCAUCAAACUUUGAAGUGAUGCAUUUUGACACCAGGUUCACAGUUGAUCUAGAGAAGGAGUGUUUAUGUAGAUAUUGGCAGCUGUCAGGAUUGCCUUGUCCUCAUGCUAUUUCAUGCAUUCUUUUGAAGACCAAUAGCCUGGAUGAAUACGUUGCGAGUUGUUAUUCAGUUGAAUCAUUCAAGAACACAUAUGAACAUUGCCUUCAACCUAUUGAGGAUAUGACCAACUGGCCGGUUUCUGAUAGAGUCAAGCUCAAAGCUCCAGACUAUGUCUGGAUGCCUGGAAGGCCUAAGACAGAGAGAAGGGAUCCAACAGAGGCACCCAAGGGCACAAAGCUGUCAAGGGUUGGUACUGUCAUCAGAUGCACAAAGUGCAAACAGACCGGUCACAACAGAUCCACAUGUGAGAAAAGGAAUGCAGCUGCUUCUUCUGGUACUGCUGGUGUUCAAUCCGCUGCUAGUCCAAAUGCAAUGGCUGUGGUGUCCAACACUCAACAAAGUUGUACAUCCUCAAGGAAAAGGAAGGCACCGGCCGGCAGCAGCCAUGGAGCACCAGUUAAGGUAAUAUCAUAUCCCAAAAAAAAUUUCAGAACCUCAAAGUUUUUGCAUUAUCUAACAGCUCUUUCCACCAGAAUGUGACCAAGACAAGCGCAAGUGCUAGGGUGUCAACUAUUCAGGGUGGCUCAGCUACUGGGAAAGCCGGUGCUCAUGUCUCCGCUAGUGCAACAAAGAUCACAAGGCCUGAUCCAAAGCAAGGGCCAAUGCUUCUACUCCCUCCGUGGGAGUCAGCAAAGCUGUGAUGUCAUACUGAACUUGUGCUUCGAGAAAUUGAAUUUGCGUAGUGUUGCCAGACUGUUGUGGCAUGUCAAGUCCUGUUGAACAAUUUCAAUCCCAUGUUGUGUUGCCAGACUGCUAAUGGCAUGUUAAGUUGUGUCGAACUGUAGUGCUUGUCAUGUGAAACUUGGCUUCUAUGUAGGGAAUCUUGUUGGCAUCUAUGUGCGUGAUUUAUCUGUGUUUCCUACAUCUGAGAAUGAAUGUCUGGGUGCAGGCGAGCAGGCGUGAACCCAGUGCCCACGGGCGACGCGCGUCCCUGUGAUGAGUCUGUUUGGUUGUUCUUUUCGGGUGUCGACAACUAAAGAGCAAUAGCCUCGGCGCAGCAGUGCUCCGCUCUCCUACCGAACAGCAUCAACGACUGCUUGACUGCAGCCAAGAAACAGGGACGCGCACGAUCUGUGUUUUGUGCGACACGUGCGAAAUCAAGAUAACAGAAACAGAUAAAAAAAACAUCUAUAGCCUGAGGGUCUUCUGAUUCACAACACUCAAAACAACCAGACAAGUCUAUCAGAUAUAUAGGGUGCCCCAGGCAAGCCGUCAACGGCCGAGUACAACAUCCAGAAUACAAGGGUGCAAUCUGCAGUGUAACGUUUCACAAUUUUACAAGGAACACCGCCCAAUACACUCACUGGACACCCAUUACCACGCAUGCUUGAUUGUUGGUGGCAAGGUACCGGACCAAACAACAGUCGCGCUACCGCUGAGACAGCUUCUUCAGGUGUUGGAACAACUUUUGCUUUAUCCACUGUCGAUCAUAUGGCAGAAAUGCCUGGAUCGAGUGAUCAAAACUGCAAAAGUUAAAAUAGCAAGUCGUUAGGUUUCUUUUAACUUUGAGCAUAAAAUGCUUCAAGUGACUUAAAAAAUCUUAAAAAAGCUCUUGUACUCACACUAGUGCACUUAUGUCAGCUAGGCCAUCAAUGAAGUUAUAAAGGUCGCUGAUAUCAUAGGUUAUGUUUGGGACCAUUGGGUUGAUAUCCCUAAUUUUCCUUUCAUAAAGCCCACAGAUUCCUGCCAUUUCAGUAAAGUGGUAUUAAGUAAUUCAUGAACUUUUAGAAGGCAAAUAAAUCAAGAAGAAUCACUGAGAAAGUGCAAAUCUGAUUUUAGAGGGGUAUAAGAUCAUAAGAUGGAUCUGUGCCAAACUAGCCCAUUGGUGGGGAUGGGGGGUUGUAUCAGGCCAGUGAACAAAAGUGUGAAGAAAGAUGAUUAGAUCCAUGAAUGUCUAAGGCACCAUGGAAUAGAAAUUAUUACUAUAAUGUUUCUAAUAUUUAGAUAUCACUGCAACUUUUUUUCUGAUCAUGACAAAUCAGUGCUGCUGCAGAUGCAAAUCAGAAAACCAAAUUCAUACAGCUGUAGAAUCACAUGAAAACCACCAGGGUGAUACAGAUAGAGUUAAAUAAAUUUUUCCAUUGAAUUUUUCAGCAGCAGAUCCUUUUCCAAAUCAUACGUACCAUCCAAUGCAUGAUUAAUUGAAUUAUAGUCCAUAAAUGUCCUUGAUGCCCUAUUUUGGGAUGGCUGCAUCAAAAUAAUGGUGUGUCUCCCAGCCUGUAUAGAGCAAUCAAUCAGAUCCACAUCAACAUGUGCCAGUACUUCCAGAGUGCAAAGCAUUGGAUAUACAUGGAUGCUAAGAAAUUACCGACAUACUCAUGCCCCAUGCCCACUAGCCUUAGACAGUUUCCUAAUAGAGAAAUAUUUUCUGUGGCAGCUCCUAUACUAUUAGAGUAUUCAUAAAAGGUACCAUAUCACAAAAGCGAAGAUUUGCUAGACAACCCAUCUAUUAAUAAAGGCCCAAUAAAGACAUAUUUUAUUCCCUAGAAUGAUUCCUUUGCUUCAAGCAGUAAUAAUAAAAUUGAUCUAGUCAUCAUCAAGUUGGCUUUGGACAGGAUCCGCCGUAUGGCAUCCAAAAACUUCUGAGACACCAAUACUCUGGGAAUAAAGCAAACUCAACCCAACACAGUGACUAGCAAUAUCAAAUAGUAUUCUUGACUCUUGUACUUUUGCAUGCAAACUAUGCAGCUUUCUUUCACAAUUCUAUAAUGCAUAAUAUUUAGACUAUAAUUUCAGGGGAGAUAUCUUUAUAUUUUUUGCUUCUUCAUGAUAAGAACAAUCCAGCAUCCAGAGCUGUGCCUGUAUGAUAUUUCCAUUUCCAGAGCACUGUUUAAAGGGUUACCUAAUAACCUAUACCCCUAGAUGCCCGUAGUGCACAUCUAAGUAAAGGAAAUAUGCUGUAGGAGAAAACAUAUACAGCAAAUAAUUUAUUAUGCUAUAUACUAGAAGCUCAAACAUGUCACCAAUCUAUGAACAAACAAUUCUUGAAACAUAUCAAAUAACACAAUAACCUAUGAGUAAAACAGUAAAAUUCGUUGAUAAAGCUAACUAACAGAGAGAUGCAGAAUAAAUUAUGAUCAUCACAUCCUUAUUUGAACCUUAAAAUGAUAAAACACUGGACAGGAUAAAAUCAGUGCCUGCAGAUGUAAAUAGGGAGCGCCUUGGUAUACAGAGUCCCACCAAACAUUCAUAAUAGACAAGAUUGCAAAAAUGCACGAUACUUCUUCAAUGAAAUGGCAAGCAGCUAUCUUGUGUGUUCGAGGUAAAAAAAAUCAUGAUGCCCAGUGCGCGGAGCUUGGGAUGAAACUCAGUACGGGCCAACACAACAUUGGGGGAGUAAUAUUAGAAAAUGCAGGCCAAAGGCAUUAUCAGAAACCUAGAUAGAGGUAUCCAUUUACCAGCGAUAAAUUAUAACUAAUCAUCAAUCAAGCUGCAGUCUCUGAGCUGACAGUGUGGCAAAUGCUGAGUAACUGGGCACACAUAGGUUUAUGGUAACGGAAAUGAAAUCAAAGGGAAUUAACAUAAUGACAUGGGGCAGGGUCAGUAGGGGCUGGGUUCAUACUAGUUUUUUUUUUCAUAGUCACGAAGCAUUAAGCACAUGAGGUUUUCAAAAACCACAUAUCACCCAUUGGUGAGAAACGCAACCAUUGUAGUUUUGGCAUCCAAAGCGCAGUUAGCAGAUAGCACAUUAUAGCAUAUCCUACUAUUUACAGCAAGUCCAUAACCUUAUAAAACCUACCAUGACAUAGAAGCAAAGUCUCCAAGUAUCAUGAUAAUGAGCUUAGAACAAAUAUUUUCGGUAGAAUGCAGAAGGGAAAAGUCUUCUGGGGAGAAGUAUGGAUCGGAAUGUUCACACCACGCUACAUAGAUAUCACCACAUUCUCAAAAUUCACAUUGAAUCACUGCCCAAGUCAACAAAAGAAACAAUAACAAUAGCAGAUUACUCGGCGAACCCCCACACAAGCCAUCAAAGAAACACAUCGAGCUACUUCGAUUCAGCUAACCAACAGACCGCUGGCGCCCGCGACAAGGGAAGCAAAGCAAACUGCAAAUAAUCUGCGAGCGUCGCGUCGUCACUGGCCAAUCCGGUGCCGACUUUUACGAUCCCAUCGGUCACAGGCUCAAAUCCUACCUCCAAUCGUACCCUGCCGCUACUAGGUCUGGAGCACGCGCGCUACGGGGUACCAAAACCCCGCCCCGCGGCUCGUCCCGAGAAUCCCAGAGCUGGAGAGGAUUGUACAGGGAAGCUCACCAUGGAGGUCGCGGGCGGGCGGGCGGGAGCUGGGGGAAGCGGCGAGAGUCGAGGAAGGAGGCGGCGAUUGGGGUAGGGAGGUAGGAGUCGAAUAGGUUUGCGCGUUCCUGCGUGGGGAAAGGGAAGUGGGGCCUUGUUUUGUGACGUGAUUAUUAAAAAUGGAAAAGAAGAACACAACGGCUUCUGUUGGAACUUGGAUACUUGUAUGAUGCCACGUUGGAUGCUUCGCAGGAACAUCGGACUAUCAGCAUGACAGUAGCCCGUGUAGAUGCAGCAGAGCAGUCGAUGUUUUACGGUGAACACGUAGAAACUAGAUCUCCCAUCUCAAAUUCUCAAUUGCCAGACAACCGGUGGUGGUAACUGGUAAGAGGACAAUUUCGUGAGCAACGAAAGAUGGUCAGGCUAGUAAUACCUGGUUAAAGCAGGGCGGGGAUAGAUUUGGUGGUGGCAGAAACUGUUUAUAUGGAAGCAUGCAAUGUGAUCGGAGGUUGAAGAAAUUAUUACUCCAUCGUCCGUGCUAAAUUAUAGGUUAUUUUCGGAUCGUCCCAAACUAUAUAUACAUAUUAAGGGUCAUAUUUUUACCGAACCUUAGGGUGAGCAGAACAUUUGACCACACCACAAGCACAUUCUGAUUUUUUAGAAAGAAAUGAAGGUGAAGUAGGUAAGGGACACUUAGCUCGUAUCUAGUGAAACCUGGUUAAUGCUCUUUCUAGAUUAUAUAACUUGGAAAGGUAGUCAUGGGUACUAUGAUAAAUGACCAUUCUAGGGACCACAAAUAAUCUAAAGGUGAUCCUAGGAUGUUCUUUUAACCUAGUACUCUUGACCAUAAUCCAGCUUAUAUAAUUUAGGCUAAAUAUUGAAAACCUCAUAAAAAUUAUAUCUAAGUUUUCAAUAUAGUUCAUGUCACAUUAACAAAACACAAUUUCAAGGCCGAACUACAUCCUGCUUGUGAGAUAAAAAAAAAAUCACGAAUGUCGGAUAUAAGUACAAAAAUUAUAAUUUAUUCAUUUGUACUUCUAAGCCUUGGAUUUAUCACUUGUGCAUCUCUCAUUUGCUAUGGAGUUUGGACUAGAGAUUUUUUAUGCCAUCGUAUCAUAACAUCAUCUAUAGAUGGUGAGUUUUUCACGACAUGAUUUUCUUUUAGUUUCAAGUUGCAAACACUUAUGGUUUUCACAUAAUAUGAUCCCAACUAUACAAAUAUAAAACGGACUAAUCGCAUUGUUCGCGAGGAUGCAGAUGCACGAACAGAACAUGUAAACUUUUUCAGCGCGUUCGGCAGCGCGUUAAGCCGCUGCUGCGGCUGCUGGCUGCCGCAGCCGGUGCUGUAGCGCUGCAGCUGCUGCUGCUGCCGCCGCUAAGCGCCUGGUAGUAACGGCCGUUUGGCCCGCCGGGUGUGCGUGCUAAUGGGCCGUUUGGGCCACAUUAGUUGCAAGGUUAAAUUUAGUCCGGUUGCAACUCAAAUUUAUGCAGGAAACCAAUGAAGCAAACCGAAUUUGCGUACUCUAUUUUACAAAAUGAAAUAAUUAAAAUGUGUGGGACUACAAAUAAUAAUAGAAUUGUUCAUACUUGUAAAAUAUAAGGUUGUUAAAAAACAGAAAUUAAAUUGUUCCUGUACCGAAACAAGCGAGAGAGCGGUAACGACUUAUCCUUACCAAUUUCCAAAGUGGUUUCCGUACUGAUACGCUACUACGUUCGAAAAUAAAUUUUGUAGCGGUUAAUGCAACUACAGUAUCUAAAUGGUGCGCGCCAAACAUAACAAACACACUCAAGCUUACGAACGUACACACAACAUAUUACAAAUUCGUACAUACAAAUUACAACAUGAUUUACACACAUACAUCCCGCGUCUACAUCAACGAGAUGCCCGCAGCAAUCCAAUCUCGGACACUGCCCAUAUCAGGUGUAGCAUUAGCUGCCACCCAUUCGGACACCGCAUAGUCCGGUUCUCGCGCCCUGGACGAUCCUGCCGAACUGUCAUUGCCAACGUCCAACAAAUAAUUAUGCAGUGCAAAGCAAGCAAUAACAAUCUUGGUUUGUCGUUCUCUCGAAUAUAGUGGCACUUCCCGCAGAAUGUGCCACCUCGAUUUCAGGACACCGAAGGCGCGUUCCACCACAUUUCGAAGGUUGGAAUGGUGAAAAUUAAAUUUCUCCUCCAAAGUGUCGGCCUCCCUUCUGCUAAACUCCUCGAGGUGAUACCUGGUAUUUCUAUACGGGCCCAGAUACCCUUCGCGAACGGCGUACCCCGAGUCGACCAAAUAAUAGCGGCCUGCAGGUAAUCACAACAAAUCAACAUUAGUGCACCACAUUUUCUUGAUUAAUCUACAUGUGCCACUCUUAUAAGUCACAUACCUGCAGGUGGAUGUGGGUACGUCCGUGCCGACAUACAGUCACGCAAUACCGCCAUGUCGUGACAUGAGCCUGCCAUGCCAGCUCCUACGUACGUGAAACGCAUGUCCAUAUCGCAUAUGGCUAGCACGUUGAAGCUUGUGAAUCCUUUUCUGUUUAGGAAAUCCAAACGGGACUCACGGCCGACAAUUACUGGAAUGUGCGUACCGUCAAGCGCACCUAUGCAUCCAUCAAAGAACGGUGCAUAUUGGGUCAGCUUGUGAUUGACCGUCGAGUACGCUCUAUCCUUUGGAGCGAUGACUUGCUGGGCAAACGAAUACAUUACAUUCGCCACAUGCGCCAUCUUCCUACUCACCGUGUCCAGACUCCGGUCAAACCUUUCUCUAAUCUGCCGGCACGCUUGCUGUGUCGCACAUGCCCACACAAACAUAGCUAACGCCUCAACGGAUUCUACCCCUUGCGACGUUGUCAACCCAUGGUUGCUAACCAACACGUCGUGCAAGUGAAGGAACGUGUCGGGAUACAUACGAAAAUUGUCGUAGCACCACCUCCUGUCCCGGAGGUUCAGCUCCACCCACUGCCGACCCGUCAGGCGUGGCAGCUCAACUGGCAAGUCGACAGGUCGGUUCCGUCUAGCACGAUUUAUGCUGCGAAGCUCGUCAUAUGCGGCUGCAGCUCCUCCUAAACAUCUCAUAUCAAACACGGAGCUGUUGUCGCUGCCGGUGUCACUGUUGUGUUCCUCUGGAGCACUCAUACUUGAAAUACCUGUCCAAAAUGAAAACACAGCUUAUAAGACAAGGUGAACAACGUUAUGUAUACCGAGAGCAGGUAGAACUAGUUUGCACAAAAAAUUGAACGUAACGUAACUUCAAAGUAACUUAGCAACAUAACUUAUACGUGCAACUGAACAGAUGCAACUAACUAAUACAAUUGGUGGACAUUCAGAUACACCAGAACAUAAACAACCACUAACAUACCAGAGAAAGGUUCAACGAUUAUUAACUUAAAAAAUGUUCAAGUCAGCGCACAUAGAAAGGUUCAACCUCAUCUAAAAAUUACAGAAGCUACAUUCAAUGUUCAACACAACACAAGUGCAACUAAGCUAAGAAAGAACCAGGCCACCAUCACUUCUUCUGCAUCAUGUUCCAGUAGAAAUUGAUCCAACUCAAUCGGGCAUCUUUUGUGUCUAACCCUAAGAACGUGGACCGACAAUCCGAACUCUGCCCACAACAAUACAUGACCUGGUUGUGAAGCUCCGACCCCUGCUCUAUACCAUCUUCUUUUAGGAUCUGAAGACAACGAUUUGUUUGUUCAUGGGCACUCGGCGCACGUAGCAGGCUCCGCUUGGCCACACUAUCAGAUAGGUCCCUAAUGUACUGCUCCAAGGUGUCACUUCUUUUUUUGGUGGGACUGUCCACUGAGUAUUCUCGGACCGGCCUUUUUGACUUGGCACGAGCACUGAAACGAGCACUAGUAGCAGGGGCCUGCUCGUCCUCCAAGUCCACGAAAUUGCCCUCAGUCCCCAUGCUAGGUGUGCCCCCCAUGCUAGGUGUGCCCUCCCGAAUCCCUCCGGCCGAAAGCAAUGUGCCCCUGUCUUGUGGUUCGUGGCCAAACAACUCGAACAGCAGGUCCAGCAAAGGUGGAGGCUUCACAGAAUGCGGCUGUGACCUCGCCUGGGUGUCCUGCAAAGUCCCAUAAAAGUAAAAUAUCAGCAUUGGAAAUGUAAUAAAUUACAAGUAUGACGAUCAGUAAGUUAGGGACGACGGAAAGUCCCUACCUGUUGGUCCUGCUCCCAAUACGUGGCAUCAGCCGACACCCCACCAGUUUGUGUGUCGCGCCCUAAACCAGUCGAGGUUUCCAAUGCCCGCCAGCCGAAGAAUUGCCUCCUCAAGUUGUUGAGCUUGUUCUGCAGCUGCUUCACUCCCAGUUGCAAUCCAGUUGCUGCCCUGAACCUGGAGUGGACAUUCCUCCAUCCCAACUUAGUGAGGCAUCUGUCGCUCCAGUUUAGCUGGUUCUUUUGUUCAAUGCACAUCUCCAGCAAAAUUUUUGUCGUGGGCUCAUCCCAGCUGGCACGGAUACUCAUCUGACCACACAGUAGCUGCAAUUAUAUGGCACCGAUCUAUGGACAACUACGACCUACGUACACAACUAAGCAAUGGAAAAUGAAGAAUUUGUUACUUGCCUUAGCAGGUGCUUUGUGGCGUUUGUGACGAAAAUUGUACGGGCACACGGGGGGAGGAGAGCAGGACCCAGUCGAUGACGAUGCCAGUGUGGGCACCUUUGAAUGUGCCUCAGAUUUGUGGUCCUUGCACCCUUCCUCCUCAAGCCUGAAAGGUUAAAAAAAAAUCAGAAGGGCAGAUUACACAUAUAUGGGUCUAAGUACAAGCUAAACAUGUAGGACAGAAUAUGCUCUACUGCCACAACAAUACUUGAAAUAAUUGUUACAGAUUAGCAAUCUUAUAGUAUGGAAUAUUGGAAUAUGCUCAAGUCAUGAUAAUUUAUUUCAGAACACAAGCAGUUAUAAGUCUAGGCUGUAUUUGUUAUAGGGUAAGUGUAGCCGUCUUCAAGGUUCAACAAUGAUGAUUUGAUUAAAUCAAAAGGUAAGCAAAGAUUCUUUGAUGAAGCAGAUCUAGAAAAUUAAAAAAAUAAGGCACAAAAUCAUCACAAUAAGGUGGCUACCGACCUGCAGUUGAAGAAAAAAAAUGGAGACACCAAAAGUCUAAAACGAACCAGCUGUGUAGACUGAGUGAAAACAAGCAAUGGGAUUGGACCAAAUGCUGGGUCUACAAUUAGCAUUUGAAUGUGCAGCUAUGAAAAAUGCAUGUGGAAGACGUAUUUGUACUGAUUAAAUGUGCCUUGCACAUCUAGGAUGCAUAAAGAUAUGGCAUAGCAAUAAAUUCAGGAGACAAAGAGAAAUCUAGCAGAGGUAAAUCUAGUGAAAACUAGAAUCAGUAAUUCUGGAUAAAGGACAGAACCUAACACUUCAUGGAGAAAGGCAUCAGAACAACGGACUUUAGCCCUGAACUGAAAUAAACACAUAUUGACACUUCUUGGUUGAAGGUAAUUCAGGUUAUCUAUCAAAUUUAUCCACAUUUCAUCCAUCAUUUAGAUGGCUGCCCCUUUGAUUUCAUACAAUUGUCACAAAAAAAAUGUGCACUCCAAUCGCCAUAAUGACCUACAGCUUCAGUCUGCCUCUCACAUACUUGUAAAAAUCAGGAAGUGUAACUUAUGAGGACCUUUUUUGUUUACCUGACAUUCCUGGAGCUAACAAGUAAGUAAUGUCUACUUGAACUAAGUGUUGAAGACAUUGUCAAUUCAUACUGCAUAUAUACUUAUGUCAGCAAACUAUGAAGUAAUCUAGUAUGUCACACAAAGUAUAUGCCUCACAAACCAGGGGAUAAAUUAAAUCAAACCAUUCAAGCUAUAAACUGAUAUUUCACUUGCAGAUACGCUAGAUGUAAGGAACAACCCAUGAAAUAACCUCAAUCCUAGUUGAGGCCUUCCUUUUAUCACAAUGGGCAACAAUACGCAAUAAGGUAUGUACUUGACCAGAUCAUGUAUGUAGUGAAAUGUGUAACAGAUUUCAUUCAUUCACUAGGGGCUCAGGGGAUGCGGUACCUGUGAGCGGAGGUGAUGCAGGGGGCGACGGCGCGGGAGAGGGUCCGUCCACCCGACGGCCCACCGGCGGCGGCAGCGCUUGGGCCGGCUCGGAGCCGCGGCGGCGGAUCCGGAGGGACGGGCGGCGGCGGCUCCGGACGGCCCACCGGCGGCGGCAGCGCGUGCGCCGGCUCGGAGCCGCGGCGGCGGAUCCGGAGGGACGGGCGGCGGCGGAUCCGGACGGCCCACCGGCGGCGGCAGCGCGUGCGCCGGCUCGGAGCCGCGGCGGCGGAUCCGGAGGGACGGCCGGCGGCGGAUCCGGACGGAGGGACGGAGGGGGCGCGAGGUAGCGAGGGAGCGGCGGAGCGAGCGCGAGGCAGUGAGGGAGCGCGCGGCAGCGAGGGAGCGGCGGGCGACCGCGACGGAGCGCGGGCGCCGAGGGCCCGCCGGCGGCGCAGACCGGGCGUGGACGGAGCGGGGAGCGGAGGGAGCCGCGGCGGCGGAUCUGAGCGAGGCUCGGUGGGAGCAAGUGACGGAGGGGGCGAGAUGAGGGAGGCACUGGCGCGGGACGUCGGUGCGGCGUUACCUACAUACGAACGGAUUCCGCUCGUGACUAGCAGCGGAAGCCAUCCGAACGGCUUCCGCUGAUAAGCCGCAGCCGGAAAAAGAAGCCGCAGCGGCUUAACGCGGUGCCGAACGAGGUGUUUUUAGCGCGCAACGUGUGGCCAGAGGCCCACCUGAAUGAUUUUCAUUUAAAAACAACAACAAGAACAAACAAAGAGAGUGGGGGGAGGGAGGGAGGGGAGCGUGGAUCGGGAAACUAAUCACGGCUCCCACAUCCAUGUAAACACUACGCACGCACACGAACAAACAGAACGCCUACCUUACCGUUUUCCCGUCGAGAAUUUAGUUGCUGCCACACUCCUGUAGUCACGAGAAUCUACUUCACCAAACCAACAAAAGUGUCAUCACGCGGGCUACGUACUGUGAGACACGGUUGUACCCCAAAGAAUACGUGCCAAAACACAAUACAUGUUACAUUAUACGUGAGCCAAAAAGAAAAUCAAUGACAUUAAUACGACAAAUAGGGUCACGUUAAAACCUUGUUUAUCUCAGGCAGUAGUACAGAAAAUCAACCUAACGCUACAUUAGAGCAAAAUUUGUGGCUUUCCUUCUUUCAUUUCCUCACUGUCCAAACAAUAAGCACCCAUGGCUUCUCAAACAAAUAUACAGCUCACAAAUGGUUGCUUCUCACUACAGCAGCUUUAUAAUUUCUCAACUCAAGGGCAAAACUGGAGACCGAUAGCUGCGAUAAAUUCUAAGCUAUUUAUUUCAAGGAUAAAAGAUUGCUGCAAGCUUCAAUUUCAGCAAUGUGGGAGCUCAAGAUAGCCUGACCCGAAGAAUGUGCUCCAAUGACGUUCGUUGCAGCUUUGAAAACUGCUGAGCGGAAGAAGGUAUCCUCCAUUUUCUUUAGGGUAUCCUCAAGAACUCCGAUGCCCAAACAGCAUGACAAGAUCAGACGUCCAACAACUUCACCAAAAUGUGCUGGAGCUUUUGGAAGGUCGAUAGCAAGAUCGUCCAGAAGGGAACCGUAAAGCAAGCAUCCAGUUUCCAAGUCUACCGUCUUGAAAAUAUUCUUGCUGUGAAGGUGUUCCAGUAGCUUCACAAGAGGAUCGAUGGAAUUGGCACCUUUGUCAAGAGCAAGAUUGAUGGCUUCUUUAACAACUUCUGGGUAGUAAUCAGGACUCUUGAGCUCCUCAAUGCACUGUUGUGCUUCAUCUAGAAUACAGACAUGGAAAUACUCCUCAAGAAGAGAGACAGCCUUCUUUUGAAGACUUGGUAAGUUUGGCUUGGGAGCAGCAGCUGGCUUCUCAACUACAGGAGCAGCAGCUGGAGCUGGUGCAACAGCAAGUCCAGGAGAAAAACUUGAAGGACGGGAUAUUGGACCCCCACUGCCCAAUAGCGCACUUGUCUUGCCACUUACUAGUGCUCCGCUGCCUUGAGGAAGUAGUCUAGAAUUGACAACCGAUGGCUUAUUCACCAGCUGGGUAUGGCUGCGCAGUGGGUCAGCUCUGGAUUUAGAACGUGGAACUUCCCAGUUAUCAUUAUCUAACCCAGGCAUUCCGGGCAUCUUUCUUGUUCCAGGCAUGCCAGGCAUCAUGCCACCAGUUCCAGGUCCAUUCAUUGGAAAAGCUCCAGGUGAGAGCGAUCCUCCAGUACCAGUGCGUCCGUUCCUUAUGUUUGCGGUCGACCCGGGUCGCAAUCCAAGUUUCAUUUCUGCCUCUGUAUGAAUCUCACUGAUUUUCUUGGCCUUAAUCUGAGAAAGAAAUAACAACAUAUCAAAGUUAGUGAAAGCUAGAGAUUUUAAAACCAGUUUGUGCAUAAGAAUAGCCAGGCCAGUCCAUGAAGAAAGGCAUAUUGCACUGAAGAGACUAGUGUCUGGUCAACUAUCAGCAUGUGAAACAUAUAUCUUCAAUUUGCAAUGUAUGUUUUAUUUCCCUUGAUUUCACAAGAUCCACUGGCUGUAUAGCAGACUCUGACACGCAGAACACUAAUGCAAAUGCGUUUCAAGAUGGAACUGAGAGACACAUACCUCCUCACGUCGAGGCACCCAGUUGUUUGAACGGAGAUCAAGGACAUCACGCACCAUGAACCUCAAACGUACUGCCAACUGAGUAUUACUUGUCAGCUCCUUCAGGCGAUUGAAGUAGACAUCAUUAAAUCUACGAGACUUUGGGUUCUCAUCCAACUGUUUACCAAUUGUAUUGAAGAACUGGCAGAUGGCCUCAACAUUUUCCUCAGCAGGGCAUGAGUUGCUAUCAGAACCCAGCAGCUCCUAUUUACAGCAAAUGAGUUAGUAAAUAUUUCAUAGGGCAAGAACAUAAUGCAUGUGGAGAAAAGCAUUCCAGUCUAGAGGUCUAUUCCCACUGAUGGAUUGUGGGGAAAAAAUUGAUCACAUCAGAUUACCCAUUUUUCCUGUUUGCUGAAACUACCAAGCUGAAGGUACAACAAAAAUACAUAUUUAUGUACCUGAACAAUGUGAUGUACUAUCUUCUCUGUCACCAUUUUUUGCUUCAGUAGCUCACCAAUAAGGCGAAUAUUUCCAAGUGUUCGAAGCUUCACAAGCCUUUCUUUAUCACGUCUCUCCAUCUCUUGGUCUGGACCGGUCAAUUUCUCUACCUCGUCCCGUAGAUUGCCAGCACCUUCAAAUGCUUCUUGACAAUUGUUCAACAGUACACGUUUGAAUGUAAUCUCCCUAUCACCAGGCUCCUCAGGAGGGAAGGAUGGGAGGCUUUCAUUGAGUUCAGAGCACAGCUGAGCAUACAUCUGACAGAAUGUGGGCUCAAAUACAGCCUUCUCAAAUAUAAGAGUAAUAACAUCCUGAAUAGACAGGAGAAAGGAGGUUAAUCGCAAGGAACGAUAACGUCAAAGACAACAGAAUAAAGAACUAGGAAUAAACAAACCUUCAAAAUAUCAGCUGUAGUAAUUCCUGCUUCUAUCAAUUGGCCCUUCAAAAGGUCAAACUUCUCUGGCGUCAACUUGUUCAGUAUUCUGGCAAUGACCAAAUAUUUUUUUAAGAAACAAAACAAGUUUGACUUUCCGAAUACAAUAGUAUAGAUAAAAAGGUUGUUGACAGAGGUAACAGAGAGCAGAAAGAGAGAGAAAAACUCUGAAAUCAAAUAUACCCUUUCACGGUUUUCAGAACUCUCUCUUUUUCAGAGAGAUUUCCUCUCCGGACUGACCAUGGGACUUCAGCCUUAACAAGAGCAGGGGUGGGACGAGUCUGAUGUAAAAUAAACAAUGUUAGAAAAUUCAUUUAGGUUCCAUAUGUAAAUGAUAGAUGGUCAUACACUAGUUUUGCAGUAGCCUUGUGCGCCAUCCAAAAAUCUGUGGUUGUUGAUUAAGUGCUUAAAUGUUAUUAGGCAACCUUUAUUGUAUGAUAUAACAAAUAAGUUCACGUGUUUCAAAUUUUAUGUGAAUUUGAUCUUAUCAUCUCAACAUUAGAACAUUUAGCAUGUGGCUAGUAAGAUUUGAAUUCAGUAAAGUCCAUACAACCAUUGCACCAGCAUUUACAUUGUAUAUGCUUAUGUUAUGCAAAAUUGCUGGAUUGCUAAAAAAUCAAUCACCUCUUGCAGUCAGGCAUGUGAUAAUUUGAAUGCAUAAAGGCAAUUUUUACACAUGUAAAAAAAUCUGCAGAAAUUGUAUAAACAAAUAUCUACAGACUUAAGUGAAGCAGUUUAGCAUAAUAGUUACAAGAAAAGCAAUAUAGUCAUACACAAACAGAACAACAGAGAUCAACCUAAAUAAAUGAUUACAAAAUCCAUUGGAAAAAACGAUCUUAGCACAUAUGUUAGUCAUCUGUUUAAAAAUACCUGAGCUUUAGCGGCAAACUGCUCUUGCUUUCCACUUGAAACACGAGAUUCUUUAGCUUCACGGAUUUUAUCCCAAGACUUCUCUUCACCAACAACCGGCAAAGUUUCAGAACGUGAACGCCAGUCGCGAGUGUCUUUCUCAGUAUAGCGGUUUUGUGACUGAGUUUGUACCUAUUAGACAUGAUAAAGCACUCAAUCGUACUGUAACAACAUUUUGCAACACUGAGGAAAGUUAUAGCAGUAUGGAGGAAGUAAUGGAAGUGUUCUCACAUUUGAGUCAUUGCGAGCCCAAUUUUGAUCCUCACGUUCCUCUCCAAGGAGUAAUACAUUAAUAUCUUGCUGAAGUUUCAAGAUUUCCUUAGCUAUAUCAACAAUCUGCAAAGUCAUUUUAACCAAAACAUGGACUGAUAAGGAUACUGUGCUACCCUCUACAAAAGUCUAUACGUUGGCCAACACCACUUCUUUAUACAGGUUAGGAUGGCAUGUUUUCAGUUUUCCUAACAAAUACUCACAUACACUCACAAAAGAGUGACAUUUUGUGCCCCUUUUAUAUGAAAUACUGUCUCGGAAGUUAGAAUGUAUUCCUAAAUAUUAUAAUUUGACUAGUUUGUAAAUACAUAAUAACAGAAAUUAGCAGUCCAAACUGCGUUUUGGACACCCAGAAAGGUACUCUUCCACAAAUGCAAGAAGUAGACAACAUAACCUUUAGUCCCAAGCAAGUUGGGCGUUCUAGAUAUGUAACCCAUUAAGAGCCACAGGGAAGAGCAUAAAAGGACGUAGUAAUAGUUAUUACUAUUAACAACCACAGCAACAACAACAAAGCAUUUUAGUCCCAAGAAAGUUUGGGUAGGCUAGCUGAAACCCAAUAUAUAAAAAGAUGAUGAACAAAGCAUAACCUCCAGUAUUAAAAAAAAAGCACACCUCUCUUUCAUUCAUAACAUGAUCAACAGAAAAACAGUUGCAAGCAUCAUAGGAUAUUAGAAGUGAAGUUUAGAUAAAUAGAAUCCAUUGCCUCACUUUCAAAUUUUCAAUGGUUACCACCCUGAAUUACUGAUAGAUUUUGUUGCCUUUUAGAUUUGAUAAGGAUAAAAACAGAGAAAAUAAAGAGAUGUUUGAUGACAAAGAAUGAUUUCAACAUAGUGUUGUUUCCGCAUCAUAGUUCUCAGAAGAGGUAAAUGGUUUCAACAUGAUAUGCUAUGAGUUGGAUGUCUGGUUACACAAGAGUAGCGUCUCAGGAGUUACUUUCGCAUAAUGUAAUAAGCAGCUAUAUGAACAGAACAAGUACCUCACGCAUUUCAAGGAGUUGAUCUCUUGUGUAGCGAACCCGCUCAAGAGGCUCAAAACAUGAAUCUCCAAGCUGCAAUGCAUUAUUACGCAAGUCAGAAAGAGAAGAUAAGGAUACAGCAAUUUUUUUGUUGCAUGCAGAAUUAGCUGAACACACACACACACACACACACACACACACCCCAACAACAUGCCUUUGGAACUUGCCAGCAAAAGUCAAACAAGUAAACUUGAGUAGAGGACCAUUUCCACGGCCAACGGCCUGCAUUGGCAUGUAACGGUGAUGUGCAGUUUAACUUAUCAUUUUUUUCAGUGUUUCCUAAUAAAAGUGGAGCUUAACUAACUUUGUGCAAACUCCUAGUCUUACAACUUCCCUAGGGAUGACCACAUACCAUGGAAACAAUUACAUCACCAUAUGAUGAACUAUGUAGCAACUAGUAACCAAAAAUCAAGAACCGAUAAUAUUACAUUGCUCUGAGUGCAAUUGGUGUUUGUCUUUGCUCUCUUUCAGUCUUAAUCAAGAUUUUGUUGAAUAAGCAGGGGCAAACAUUUCUAAAUAAAGAUAGUUAACAGUUACCAGUUAUAAGAAAUAAUCGUACCCGUGUAAAGAUGAAUGCAUAGACUCUUUUGGACAGUACACUGUGCGAGUGAAAAUAUGAGAUCAUGGUAGCUCAUACGAACCAGGACUCCACAAUUCAGUAAAUGGUGCUAUCUGCUUAUCUCAGUCACUUGACCUUCUGGCGAGUACAAAGCUUGUAACUAGUUUUCCUAUUUAAUUUGUGGAAAUUAUUGUAGCUUAAAUACAUGUAAUGCAAUCUCAUUUGAUGUACAUAGGGUUGAAAGCUAUGCAAGAUGUAUAUCAAAUAGUUAGUCACAAUUCUUUUUUGAGAGCGCCAGUUCUCUUUAAUAAGCUUAACUACAAGAUAUGAUGCCACGAUCCAACACCCAUUGCUGUAUCAUAGGCAAAGCUAGCACACAAGCUGUUGACAAUGUGAGCUGGUAGUAAAAUAUGAAGAUCUAAGGCAGCCAAACUAAAAUAGGUUUUUGCUAUGUCUGGUUGUCCAAGAGAAUGCAACAGACAUGGAGGUUCAGAUGUUUUUAGAGAGCUAGCAGUUGAUGAUGAUGGCUGUGGUUUGAUUGGUCCAUAGGAAGCAGCUUCCAAUUUGACAGCUACAAUAGCUAAACUGCUCAACUUGUAACUGGAAGAAAUGCCUCUACCAACACAAUAUGCUAUGAUUUUUAAAUCAAAAAGUACGUAAAGAAAGCUGCACACAGAAAUAACGAAAGCUAAAACAGCUUCUGCACUGUCAAAAGCUCCAAUCAAUUCAGGAACAAUCAAACCAUCAAAGUCAUUGCAAUGCCACCGGAGCAUUACAACCCACCAAAAAGUAUGCUUAGCCAGAAUAAUAACCCAAGACAAGUGCCUAACAUGUCCCACCUCCCCACACCAAUGUGUCUCUUGCCAUACGCUCCAUGCCAUCGCCUCUAACAUCAGCUCAACGGUAAAUUAUUUCUACAUAGCUUUGAUUACCAAAUCGGCACCAGCACCAAUCCGACCCAUAUCUCGGCCACGGAGCCGGCGCAAGCGCAAACCCCAACCAAAACCCUAGCACACUGCACACCACACCUCGUCCCGCCCCCAACUCCAGAUCGUGCGGGUUACCUUGGCGGCAAAGCCGGUCGAGGAGCCGCCGUGCGGCCGGAGGAAGUCUCCAGCUCCGGUGGCGGCGGCGAAUGCGGUGGGGAAGAGGCGGGGUGCGCGCAGGCCGAUGCCACCGCCGCCCGGGCGCAGGCUGAUCACCGGCUGGUCCGUCGUCAUGCUUGCUCCGCUGCUCCGAAUGAAAAUCGACAACCGAGCCUGGGGCGAAUCCGCGAGGUGGGGCGCACGAGAGCGGAUGGAACCAAAGCUUUUGGUGAGCUGGGCACCUGUAUCUCUCUCUCUAUCGGCGAGGAGAGGCGGAGGAGGAAAGAGGAGGCUGCGUGGUCGGGGGUGCGGGGUUUUAUCGCGGAGACUUUAUUAGGGCUUGCGCCCUUUUUGGCAGGGUGAUUCAGUCUCUUUGCAGGCCCAAAGCAGAAUUGACGAAGGCUUGUCGGGCCGAACUUUGGGCUUUCCGGUGGCGAAUUGACGAGUUGGGAUCGGAAAGGGUUACCAUAUUUGGUUGUUCUUUUUUUGACACGGAAGAAAUCACUUCCAUUAACAAUUUUUUUUAAAGACAUGCAUAUCACUGUUCUUAAUAUUUCAUUAAGAAGAAAAGAAUUACAAUGAUACAACUUAGGAAAGAUCCAAACCGCAGAGUUACAUGAACCACCACCAGGAAACACAGAUGCAACAAUAGAAAAGAAAACUACGGCACCACCACCACACCAAACAUGACCUAAGACGACCGAUACCUGCAGGAGAGAAAGACACCAAAAGCACACGCACAUCACCGACUGCCUAACAACACGAAGCCAUUGGAGGUAUAGUGAGAAGGUCGUGCAAGAUGAUGCCUCCAGGGAGGGAGUUACGCCAAUGCCGGCAUCGUCCAUCUGUCCUUGAGGAAGGAGACCAAGUCUUCACCUAGCACAAACUACUGGAUUUGGUGGCUGCAACAAUGCCCCCAGCGAGGUUAACUAUGUCAAAGGACACAACCGUUGUCGGCCCCGACGAGUGCCUAGCUAGGCUUUCACCAAAGGCCCAAAAAACCAACUCUGCACAGAGACCGCCGAGGCCUGGAAGAUAGCCAAUGCGAUGGAAUGGCAGCGAGUAACCCAUGGUGACGACGAUGAGGAACGUCCGCAGGCACGGUAGAGAGGGGCUGCCAUCACGACAACCGAAAAUGACCAUGGAGCGACCAAGCGACCGAAGGGGGAGCAGGCAGGCCUGCCAGAGCGCGAUCUAGGUGUGAUGGGGUGUGCAGUGGAGGUGAGAGGAGGAUGAGGAGCGCGACCAGGGGAAGAGAGGUGGGAGGAGCGUGCACAGCCGCUGGUCAACGACGGUCUAGGGAAGGCUUGCCGCUCCAAAAGGCCACGUCCCUGAAGCUCGGUGCCGAGCGCCCCCUGAACGAUGGUCAUCCAAGCGCCGAAGACGGUGGGCUGGAUAGCACGACCCACGCCGACACUCGCCGGGAGUGCGAAAGGUAGGACCUUGCGGCAAUGUAGUGGCGCGCCGCCGGCAGCCAAGCCCCGCUGCAGGGCGCCACGCCACAGGACGCUGGUUCCCCGCCGCGGCCCUUGGUACAUGAGCAGCGACGCUUCCCAAGCCAUGCCCCCCGGUACACGAGCAGCGACGCCUGGAGCUUCACGUCCAAGGAGAGGACGAAUGGGAGCGCACCCGCCGCCUGUGGACGGGUCGGAGAGGGCGGCGAGCACGCGCACCACAACCGUCGCCGGCGCGCCCAUGUUCACACCCCAGGCCACCUACCCCGAUGGUGAGAUGAAGGAGCCCAUGCCAGAAGCCGCGUCGCCACCGCCGUAGGGCCAGGCCGCCCACGAGCGCCAGCACGCGCCGCUUCCCAGGCCGUGUGCCGUCACCCCGGACAGCGGCGCGUGCCGGCACCGAUCGAGCAAAUCCACCCACCAUGGACGCAGAUCCGCACAUCCCCGGCGUUGAUCGAACCUUGCCGUGCCGAAUCUUGCCGCCGCCAACACACAGGAAACGGGAGAAGGAAAAAAAGGGGAAAAGGAGGGAGGGGAGGAGGAAACAGGAGUGAGCGACAUUGCUUGACGCCGCCACCACCAGCUACCGGCGGCGGCGGCGGCGACCAUGCAGGGGCUUCCGCGAGGUGGGGUUGGGGAGGACGGUGUCACCUCCCGGGUCGCUCGAGCGAGUUCUAUUAACAACUGGCUCAAGGCAAAUUACAAAGUCUGGGGCCUCCUGAGGCUGACUCAUGUACAUAUAGGGUCUGUUUGGCUCCCACCUGCUAAAGUUUAGCACCUGUCAUCAUGGAUGUUAGGAUAUUAAUUAGGAGUAUUAAACAUAGGCUAAUUACAAAACUAAUUGCACAGAUGGAGUCUAAUUCGCGAGACGAAUCUAUUAAGCCUAAUUAGUCCAUGAUUUGACAAUGUGAUGCUAUAGUAACUAUUUGCUAAUGAUGGAUUAAUUAGCUUUAAUAGAUUCGUUUCGCGAAUUAGCCCAGAGUUCUGCAAUUAGUCUUAUAAUUAGGUCAUGUUUAGUCCUCCUAAUUAGUAUCCGAACAUCCGAUGUGAUACAACUAAAGUUUAGCACCUGGUAUCAAAAUACCCCAAAUACCCUGUACUCAUGCGAGCCGGCCUGCAAUCCCAUAGGCUGCUAAACUGUGUGCUACCCUGUUACACAUUCUCGAGCAGAUACAGUACAGUGCACAAAAUGAGAAGACCCAAACUCUCGUAUCUGCUUAAGAAGGGAACCAUUCGGGCUUCGAUCCAUCUCCGUCGAUGUUGCGUCUGUCUCCAAAAUGACUCUCGACAUGCCAAGUUGCGCCACCCGUUCCAGGCUGCAAACCGCCGAUGGACUCAUGGACAGUGUCAGUCGCUUCACCUCUGUUGCUGUGAUUGCAUCUGCUAUGUGUUGUGUGUGAGCUGUCGUUAUGCGUGUUGGUAUGUAGCUCUCGUGCAUUACAUGUGCAGGAAUCGAUUUGUCUGAUCGGCGCUCUCCUGCUUAAUGAUCUGACGGAGUUAGGACGUAUUUAAAUCCUCAGCUAAAGUUUAUUCUUUUUCACAUUAAAUAUUCGGAUAUUAAUUAGAAGAAUUAAAUAUGAGAUAAUUAUAAAAUUAAUUGCAGAAGUUUUGAUAUAAUUCAUGAGACGAAUCUAUUAAACUUUACGUAAUGGGCAGCACAGGUAGCACAGGAUUGUACUCUGCUGCGUGAGGAGCACGUGCUGGUGCACCACCGAUAGGUAAUGGUGCGUCAGCUCGUUGAAGUCUAUUUUGCUGUGGAUGGCAGUGGUGUCAUUUAAGGCAUGGAUGAUGGAUAUAUGGUAUCCAUUAUUGACGUUCAGAAGGCAGAUGGAGCAAUUCGUGCUAUUCGUGUCAUUUAAUCCUAAUGAAAAGUUUUAUAUUGAGCUUCCAAGACAGCCACGAUAAGCAAGAAUGAAAUGAAAUGUGCUUGCAACUACCCUCCCUAAUGUAUAAUUUAUGGUGUGGUUUCAUAGGAUCAAAAUAGCAUUUGAUUUCAUGUCUCAUCGAGAGUUGGUAUUCGUGUACAGUUAGUUUCAUCCAGAUGAAACUGGUUCCCUCUCUCUCUUUUUUAAUUUCAUGCCGUGUCAUCAAUCAAAAUCCUAUGUGGCAUACUAAUUAAUGAGAAUGAAACCUCAUGAAACUCCCCAUUGGAACUAGCCUUACGCUGCCUUGUACGUGAGGAUGGACGCCCUGCUGAUUUUGUAGUGGGUGUCGAGGUUGCAUCGAUAUCGGAACACGGUGUGUAUUCUAUAGUCGGAGUAAACGGAGAAACGAUUAUAACUGAGUUUUCUGUCACUAACUUCUGUCACUAACUUAAGGCGUUGUUUGGAUCCACCCAUCUAAAUUUUAGCUGGUUAAAGUUUAGAAGCUUAUUUUUUUAGCUGGUUAAAGUUUAGAAGCUUAUUUUUUUAGCUGGCUAAACUUUAAUGGGGUUGUUUGGAUCCACUAGCUAGUGGUUAGCAUACUACCCUCAUCUCACCCUCCUCCCUUCUUCCUUCCUUCCUCCUCUCACUCCAUCACCGCCAGCCAACUCCACUCUCCUCCGGCUAUCUCCCACAAGGUCACAAAUCAACCGUACCCAUAGAUCCUCCACCUCACAAGCUUCCUCCUCAACUUUUUCAGGUCACCUGCUGUGUCCUCGUCGGCUAGGAAUUUAAGCCCCCGGUGGCCGGAGCAGGCCGAUAUGGAUGGAGGCUGGCGUGGGGCGAGCGGCGGCCCGUGUCAAAUCUCCCCGAGAAGAGGUUGAUGUGGUCUCCGUCAGAGGUCGGGGAUGGAAAGGCAUCCGCCGCGGCUCCACCGGCGCCGCCGUCGGGAGGAGGGGAGCUGUGGAGGGCGGCUCCGCCUGGACGAGGCCGCGGUUGCGGCGAAGCACGACGAGGUGGAGGUCCGACUCACGGCGGCGCUUGGCCUCGCACUGGAGCUGCUCCUCAUGACGUGGACAACGUUGGUGGCAGCCGACGGAUCCGGGAGGAGGAUGGCAUCAAGGCAUGGCCGGAGUGGAGGAUGGCGCGAAGCAGGGACGCGGCGGGGAUGGCGGUGGCCGGGACGGAUGGGAGACCGGCGGCGCGUGCGGCAGCCAUCCCUCCCCGGCGCAGCAUCCCGGCGCGACAUCCCGGCGCAGCGUCCCCGGCGCGACAUCCCGGCACAGCGUCCCCAACGGCACAGCAGUGCAGGAGCAGCGCGGCGUCCCCGGCGGCGCAGCAUCCCGGCGAGCAGCUUCACGGAGGAGGUGCGAGCGACAGGAUAGGCGUGGCAAGCGGCGGGACCGAUGGUGGGAGGGGAUUCCUCCCAGGAAGUAGGAGGGGCAUAUCGAUCUUUCAUCACUUUAGCUGGUUCCAACCAGCUAAAGAAUUUUAGCUAAAGCUAAAGUUUAGCUGGAUUCUAUUUGGAUCCCUAGUAACUAAAUUUGACCAGCUAACUUUAGACGAUGAAUCCAAACAGGAUCUUAGCUGUGGAGAGAUCCCAUCCUCCCUGUGCCGAGCUAACUUUAGACGGUGAAUCCAAAGGACCUUAGCUGCGGAGAGAUCCCAUCCUCCCUGUACCGAGGUCGGAUGGUGAUCAUUUUCUUUUUUUGGAAAAGACGUGGUGAUCAUUUUCAGAAAAAAAAAACUAUGAGCUCUCUCGCCCGGUUGAGGGCCUGUUUAGAUCCCUCUUAACUUAGCUAAAGUUUGGAGUUUUUUUAGCUAGUGGAUCCCCGAGCUAAACCCCUCUAAAUGCCCAUGCUACCCUUCUUUAUUAGCGCGCCAAGGCCAACCGUGCUCCUUUGCCGUGUUGUUGUUCUCACGCAAAAAACAAGCAGCUGUCAAUUGCAAAGACACAUACAUAUGUACACUGAACAACAGCAACUGAACAAUGAACAAGGAGAAAGAAGAACGAAAAGAAAGGAACGAAAUCUCACAGCACAUACUCACGCACUGACUCACAGUCACAGCAACCACCGACAGACCACCACCACCACUCCAGCAGAUCCGCCUCGAGAGAGAAGAUUAACCUUAAUAAUCCCCUACACCAAAGCGGCGGCUACGGCCACGGCCACAGCGGCGAGCCACCGCGGGCCACAGCCAGCAGCCCCGCCACGGUCGGCAGGGGCGCCACGGCUAGCACCGGCGCCUCGGCUGCCACGGCCGCCGCGGCUACCACGGGGCAAGCCGGUGUCAGUGCCGCCACCAUCCUCUCGGCAGCGGGGAUUGGGGGCUGGCGCCGAUGAAGAUGGGGAGAAGAGCCUUCCACGGGACGGGGUGUUGGCUUCCCGAAAGAAGAUGUCGUCGUCGACCUCGUCUCGGCGCUCCAUCCUGUGCCGGUGUGGGAGCACUGGAGGCGGGGGUGGGAUGCGGUGGCGGUGCGGUGGCGAUGGGCGGUGGAGCGAUGAAGGGGACGGCGAGAGCGGCGCUGCGGGAAAAGUGGAUCGGUAGGGGGUUGCGGCGCUGCGGGGAAAAAAGGACGGGAGGAGACCGACGGGUGCGGCGCUGUAGGUGCGAGUAAGGUCCUGUUUGGGAAGCCCCUUUUAACACAUUUUUAACAUAUUGGCUGCCAAACAGUUGUUUUAAAAGGGUUGUGUUAAAGUUUAACACCCCAUAUUUCAUAAACACAUGGAGGGGGUGUUAAAACUUGCUAAAGGUGUUAAAAGUGAUCCCCCUCCUCACUUAUUCCCUGGUUGCCCCCCUUUCUCUCUCCUCCGCUGCCCCUCUUCUCCCUCCCGCAUCGCGUCCGCCCCUCCCGCCGGCAUCUCCUCACGCUGGCCAUCCCCUGCCGCCGGUCCUUCCCCACCCGUAGGUCCUCCCGCCGGCCAUCCCCACUCGCAGAUCCAUGGCGCGGCCUCCGACCACCGCCGUCGUGACUCAUCCUCCUCCGACCGGUGCCACAACCUCGACGCGGCCUCCGACCGGUGGCGCCGCGACUCGUCCUCCUUCGACCGGCGCCACAGCCUUGACGGGGCUGCCAGACGCCAUCGCGGCCGUGCUGCCGCCAGACCCGUACGAGUAGCUGGAGGUGGCGCACAAGAUCACGGUUGUGGCCGUGGCGGCUUGGGCCUUGCGCCUCGAGCUUGAGGUCGCACGCCUCCGCUAGAGGCUGGACGACAGGGUCCUUGCCGCCACCGAGCUCAACGGGGGAACAGGACUCGACGGGGGAGCAGGACUCGAACCCCUUCGUCGCCCCCGUCCCGCCGCCUUCGCCGAGCCCCGCCACCCCUCUUCUCCGCGGCCCCUCUUCUCCCUCCCGCAUCUCCUCCCGCUGACCAUCUGUGGCGGAACCGCUCAAAUUAACUUAGCUAAAGCACAAUUAAGUCGCCUGACCCACGAUCAUAUGCUUUAAUCAAGUUAACUCGGCAGUCCGUCGGAUUUCAUCCGAUAAGACCACUACACAGGAUCGAAAUAGCAGAGCUCACACGAAGGUGAGUGGUUCCAGAGAAUACAACGGAUCAUCCAACUUAAAUGAGUACAUUAAUUUCUUACAACACUGGUUCAAAAAACAAUGUUGUACAGAGUUCAUGAGCAGCGAAAAAGAUAAACCGCGGAAGCUAGCACCGGGGUCGGAUGUCACUGAUAAGGCCGAUCAUGACAUCACUGGUCCCUAUCCACGCCGUCCGAGGAGGGAUCCCACUCGACCGUCCACCCAGGAGGAAACUGGGGAGGCCAAGUGCCAAUAGCAGCUAACACAGUAGCUUCAACAUCACCUGAAAGAUGUGCCACAAGCAAAGCUGAGCGACUACACUCAACAAGACUUAACUGACCUUUGGGAUCUACUCCACCAAAUUCUAGACAUGCAAGGCUCUUGGCUAAGGGGUUUGCUUUGCCAAAGCGACUACAGUAAGUCCUUACUUUCAAUAUUUUAGCUCAAGUUCUAAGUUUAUUAACCAGUCUACAUUAGCAACUUAUGCUAAGCAAACAUAGGUUCCAAACAAUUUAAAGAACAAGCAUCAAGGUUCACAUCAUCAUCAUAUUCCAUCUUUACUCAGUGUAGCAUAGCGAUCAAGCAGUCCCAAACUGUGAGAGGCAGACGAAUCGAUUCGAAUUUUUUAACUAUGCAUGGUGAACCUAAUCUCACGACAUCCGCGCACCACAGAGGGUCGCUUCCUGUGUCGGCUGUCCCCAUCAGUUCCCAGGCGCGUGUCAGGUCCAAACUUCCCUUGGCAUGCAAUGCUCCACAGUCCCGACCUCUUGCCGUACUGUGACCGCACUUGCACCCACAUGAUGCACCAUGGGAACCUCGUUCCAGGGACAGCAGUGGUAUAAGCCACGCACUAGUUCAAUCAGGUACUAGGCUUCCCCAUCCCAUACUAGGUAUGAGAUUAGUACUUUCAAACACUUGAUCACAAACACCAACACUUUCCGACCUUAAUCAAUUUCAUGUAGACAGACGAGGCAAUCCACCGACCACCAAAAUAGUUCACAGAGCCCUGCCCCGUCCAUCGUCCUUAUAGUUGUAACCAGAAGGGGAGCAAGCAACUCCUAUAACUCACGAGUGACAGGGAAUCACUCGACUUUUACCAAGUCAUGUUAAGCACUGCAACUACUCGGACUAUCAUACUAGUAUUUAGAUCAAGGGAACUAAGUCAUGCAUCUAGGGUUUCAAACAAUUCCUGUAACGUAAAUGCACAUACAUACAAAUGAAGGCAUGUGCAAGUUUAGAAAGACUGGGUUAUGCUUCGGGGCUUGCCUUCGAUCGGAGCGGAAGCAAACUAAUCUUCUGGGUGCUCGGCUUCAGCUCCUCUAGGCGGCAGCUCGGCUAUAACUCUGUCUUCUGACACCGGGUGCAGCUCGUACGUGCCGUCAGCGAGGUUUAGCUCUACACGGAAUGCAAAUGCAAGGGUCAGACACUUAGACGGUUAUUUCAACAACGCUUACAAGAUUUAGCCCAGAAACUGUAGCAAAACUACAGGAAAAGUGUGAAACCCAUUUUAUUGGAUUCUACUCAGAAAGAGGAUUCGAACCCAAGUGAUUUCACAUUUUUCUAAUUUUUCCUCGAUUUAAGAUGAAUUUCCCCAAGCUUCUGUUGAUUUAGAAAAGAUAAAAGAGUCGGAUCGGGAAAAACUUACGAUCUGACCCUUAGACCUAAGGAAUAACUGUACCGGGGUCCUCAGACUUAACACAGAGAAGUCCCUGAAAUUUUACACAGAUACCCUUGGUCAAAAGGAAAGGAUACAGCCGAGCCCUCGGGCGAGGCGGACAAGGGUCGGACGAAACAGAUAGGGGUCGGGUGAAACGGACAGGGGUCAGGCGAAACGGAAAGGGGUCGGGCGAAACGGAAAGGGGUCGGCAGCUUACCUUUGGUCUUACCGACGAAAACUUGGGGUCGGGAAGAAGCAAGCUCAGGCGGAAUGACAAAAGGCGCUAAGUUUCGGGCGGCGGUGGCGCUGCUUGAGGGCAACAAGCACACUCUAGCACAGCGCGAAGGAAGGCAAAACGGCUGGCGAGGUGUUGGGCGGAAGGGGAGCUCCAUAGAGAGCUCAGGCGGCAGCACUUGCGCGUGAAGCAGAGAAGUGUGCGGCGACGAGUGCGCUGGAGAAGAACAAGCAAGCAAGGGUGGCAAGGCGGUGGUGGCAAAAGGGAACUCCGGUAAGAGGCUUCGGUACCCCUUUUAUAGCUACGCGGAAGAGAAAGAGUUCGAGCGGCGCGAGGAUAAGAUCGAGAGACAAAGGAGUGCUCUGCUGUGGCGGCGAUUGGUCGGCAUCUCCAUUGGCCGGCGAAGAGGAGCUCCGGGGAGAGGAUCUUACAGCAUUGGGCACUGAAGAUAGCGCUAGGCAGGCGCGGUUUUGCCGGACGGAAGGACUGGUGAGGUCGAGCCUGUGCCUGGUCGCGUCAAGCGCCGGAUUGGGUGCGGCAACUCGGUAUUGGCGGACAGGAGGGAGAGAGGGGCACUGCAGGCGAGGGUGCUGCAGGCGAGGUGACAGGGCGAGCGAUGCGACGCGAGCAUGCGCGUACUAGCGGCUCUGCCGCGGCACACGACUGGCGAGGCGGGGGAAAAAGAGUUGUCACUGCCUGCGCGGUGGUUGGCGAAGGCGGUAUCGUCACGGGGCGCGCGCGUGGGCAGCGCGACUGAGGUAUGACGGAAAAGCCGGAAGGAGUUGGGGCGCGGGCGGGGAUCCUGGUGAGGAGAUGCACACGGGAGGCGAGGCAGACUAGCGCGGCCAAAUCUUCGGUCGCAGCAGCGGCAGCUUCGGCGCGCGAUUGGGAAGGAGGCGCGCUGAUCCAUCGUGUUGCGGCCAGCGACUGGGCGAGACGAUGAGGUCACACCACGUGGCGGCGGCACUCUGAAAUAGGGCGCACGCAAGCUCUGGCGCGCUUGGCUCGAGAGAUCCACGGGAUCCUUUUUCUGGAUCCAUUUUCCAGCCUCUUGAUCUCCCAAGUUCCAAUCUUCACCACUUUGACUCCCUUAACAAGAGUUGUAGAACACCAGCUAAGGUCCAACUUUUGUAAUUGGAUCGAGCUCAAAGACGCAGUGGAUUCGUAGAUCCAAAGCUCCAAAGUUGGAAGGAACACUGGUUUCGGGACUUAAAGAAAACGACGGUUUGCUGGGUUUCAGGGGUCGGGGCUGAUUUGAACUGCAGAUUUGGGAAGUUUCAGAGAUGGAUUGGAGCAAGGUCCAAUUAACAAAGCUAAAGCAGGGACUUCGUUCUCCAACUUCUAACAAGAGUUUUCUUGGUGUCCUGCUCAACUUUCCAAAGAUAAACCCUCCCUAAGGCGCUAGGUUGGGUUGAAAACCAGACUUAGCCGGUAUAGCUCAAGAAAAGCUGAGUCAACCAGAUUAGGGAACUUGUUUUAAGAUUAAACUCGGCUUAUUUAAUCCAGAUCAUUACACCAUCCCGCGUGGGGGUCGGGCUCCGCGUCGCCGGUGACCGCAGGCGCCGCAUCUCACCGUCCAGCGCCUCCCGCACGGCCUCCGAUGCCUUCAGUUGCUCGCCCUCCGCCGACCCUGCCUCCUCCGCCCGGCCCUGUCGGCGUGCCAUGCUGCCUCCGCAAGCCCCGCCUCCUUGCGCCAGAUCCGCCUCGCCUGCUCUGGAGGUCGAAUGUGAUGGUGGCCGGUAGCCGCCCGAGCUCCGCCGGCACCCCAUCGAAGAGGUGCUUCCCAAACAGGCGGGCAGCGGGAGCGAUGGGCGGAGCGAGGAAGAAGGCGGAGAUGGCGCGCGGGUGGAGCGCGUGGAAGGCGAGCGGGGGGAAAGGGAGCACUGGGAGGGGCAGUGCGCCGGCGAGGGAAGAGGGAAAAGGAGGGGCACUUGGGUCAUUUGCCACCAAAUAUGCUAAACUUUAGCAUACUAUCCAAACACCUUAAGAUGCUAAAGUUUAACACUCCAUUUGAGGGUGUUAAACUUUAACACCUUGUUAAACUUUAACACCCCCUUCUCAAACAGGGCCUAAAUGCGACGGUGUUUUGAACUUUGCUCACUUUCGAGCAGAGGGGUGUUUGGAUUCUUGCUAAAGCUUAGCUCGGGUCGAAUGUUUGGAGGUUAAUUAGGAUCAUUAAAUGUAGACUAAUGAUAAAAAUAAUUGUAUAAAUGAGGGCUAAUUCGCGAGAUGAUUAAAUGUAGACUAAUGAUAAAAAAUAAUUGUAUAAAUGAGGGCUAAUUCGCGAGAUGAAUCCAUUAAGCCUAAUUAAUCUAUGAUUAGCACAUGUUUACAGUAACAUCACAUGUGAUAAUCGUGAACUAAUUAUGUUUAAUGGAUUCAUCUUGCAAAUUAGCUCCCAUUUAUGUAAUUAUUUUUAUUAUUAGCUUAUGUUUAAUCUUCCUAAUUGGUAUCAAAUAUCCGAUGUGACCUGAGCUAAACUUUAACAAGGAACCAAACACUCCCUUAGCAGAUUUUAGCUACUCUUGGCUGGCUAAUGGCUAAAGUUCUUUUUGGGCUUGGGCUAAAAUUUAGCAAUGUUAGUGAGCUAAAAUUUAGUCCACUAACUUUUAGCAAAGGGAACCGCCUGAGUUGUUGUCUACUGGUGUGGUGCGGACAAUGGCUGCAUUCGUCAAUUUGUGACUAGUAGUGGUUCUUGUUGGUUUGCAGUACGAGUAGACUUGGCACCGACUACUUGUGCAGAUGCCGUGUGGGCCUGCAUUAGCAAUGCGGAGACCAGCCAGUCAAACCUAUUUCGGCGGCAGGCCGGCAGCUUCUUCUCUUCCACUCGCUGACCCGCGGCCGGUUCCUCUUCACCACGUCCAUUCUUUCCAUUCCUCUUGGCAUUGGCAACAAGCAACGUUCGAUUGCCAGCCGGCACAGGGUUCAGCCAUGGAUGCCGCUGCUUUCCUCUACUCCUCCCGUCUUCCAAUUCCAAUUUGGCUCGCCAUCUCCGUCCUCGUGGCGUUCCUCCUCCCUGUCGUGCUCACCCAGGACCCCAACCUCUGCGCGACCAAGGCGAACGGCAGGUACGCCUGCCCCCUCCUGCUCCACCUCCACCUCCAGCCGCGGCGUCGCCUUCGAGGCCAACCUGCUCCGCCUCCGGGACUCCCUCCGGGACAUGGCCGCCGCCAACGCCAGCUUCCUCAACGCCACCUUCGGCGCGGGAGGGGACGGCGGGGACACGGUGUACGGCCUCGCCACGUGCCUCGCGGACGUCGAGAUGCCGGCCUGCGCCGCCUGCCUGGCGGGCGCGGCCGCCGAGGUGGCGGGGACGCGAUGCGGGAGCCGCAGGGACAUGGUGCUCUGGUACCCGCAAUGCCUCGUGCGCUACGACAACACUAGCUUCUUCGGCGCCGCAGACACGUCAGCCGACCGCCGCCUCAGCGUGCCCAACCCGAACAACUUCUCCGACCCGGCGGUCCUCGGCGAGGCGCGCGAGAGGCUGGGCGGCCGGAUGCUCGCCGCGGCGGCGGGAUCGCCGGUCCGGCUCGCGUUCGGCGACGAGCGGGUCACCGCCAACACGACGCUGCACGGGCUGGCGCAGUGCACGGAGGACCUGACCGCCGAGGAGUGCACCCGCUGCCUGGCGACGCACAUGGUCUGGCUUGGCGUCUGCUGCGCGGACAUGGACGGCGUCCGGCUCAUCGGGCCCAGCUGCUACCUGCGCUACGAACUCUUUGCGUUCGAGCCCGCCACGACGCCGUCCAUGGCGCCGCUCGCCGAACCGCCGCCGCCAUCUGCACCAGGAGCUCCUUCUGGGACUGGGACUGGGAGCUCCUCAUCCUCGAAGAAAAAGACCAGGAGCUGUGAGUAUCCGAUUAUUGUCAAUUGGAUUCUGUUUCGAUCCUCUUGGCUCAUCGACCAUCGCAAAUGCGAAUUUGUGAUUUGUUGAUGCAGACGUACUAGCAGGAGCAUUGGGUGGAGUGCUGGUUCUUCUUCUCGGGGCUUGCCUAAUAACAACAUGGUGGUACAAGAAGAAGGGAUCGUCAGGCAGGAAGAGGAUGGAGUCGCUUCUGCAGCAGCACCAGCAGUAUCCGCGGAGGUACAGCUACGCGCAGCUGAAGCGGAUGACCGGAUCCUUUGCGCACAAGCUGGGCCAGGGCGGCAAUGGCGAGGUGUACAAGGGAAGCCUACCCGACGGGCGCGAGGUGGCGGUGAAGAUGCUCAAGGAGGCCAAGGUGGACGGCGAGGAGUUCAUUAACGAGGUGGCCAGCAUCAGCCGGACCUCGCAUGUGAACGUGGUCACGCUACUGGGCUUCUGCCUGGAAGGAUCGGGGCCCAGAUCCAAGAGGGGCCUUGUCUACGAGUUCAUGCCCAACGGCUCGCUGGAGAGGUACACCGCCGGCGGCGACCUCGGGUGGGAGCAGCUGCUGGGCAUCGCCGUGGGCAUCGCGCGGGGGCUCGAGUACCUCCACCGCGGGUGCAACGCCCACAUCGUGCACUUCGACAUCAAGCCCCACAACAUCCUCCUGGACGCGGAGCUCCGCCCCAAGAUCUCCGACUUCGGGCUGGCCAAGCUGCGGCCCCAGAGGGACAGCACCAUCCCCGUGUCCAUUACCGGGGCCAGGGGCACCGUCGGCUACAUCGCGCCGGAGGUGUUCUCCAGGCAGGUCGGGUUGGGGGCGGUUACCAGCAAGUCCGACGUCUACAGCUAUGGCAUGAUGGUGCUGGAGAUGGUCGGUGCAAGGAGGACCACCGUCAACAAUGGUGUGGGUUCGGUAACCACCGGGGCGAGCAGCGGCAGCAGCAGCUACUUCCCGGAGUGCCUGUACCAAGAUCUGGACGGGUUCUGCGCGAGCGCCUGUGGGCCUGACGAGAAGGUGGGCACUGCGGAGGUGGUGAGGAAGAUGGUGAUCGUCGGCCUCUGGUGCAUCCGGAUGUCUCCUUCCGAUCGCCCGUCCAUGAGCAGGGUCGUCGAGAUGUUGGAGAAGACCACGCCGGAGCUAGAACUGCCGCCAGAGGCACGGGCAGCAGAGGCAGCAGGCAGCACAGGAGCAGCAGCCUCUUCUUGACUCUCCUUCGUGGAGAACGUGUGGCCCGACAAACGCAUAAGGCGGCCCACUUGACUUGGUCUGGCCCAUGCGCGCCUCGUAGGCCAGCCACAAUUGAUGAUCUCCCUCUCUUGCGCGCAUCUUUUUUUUUUUGACUGAAACCGCGUCGCUGUCCUGUCAAAAUAUUGUGCCACGUGAUGCUGAUGUCACAUAUAAAUUAUGAGCCGUACGAUAUCAAAAUAUUGUGCCACGUCAAUCUGAUGUCACUACCUUGUUAGAGUUAUUGUUAUCCACAAGCCGUUCUACCUUUUUUUUUAAAAAAAAACGAGAUUGCACAACUGACUUGGUUGGGCUUUUCGGCCGAACAAGCCCAUAAGGCGGCCCAUAUGACGGAUUUGUAAUUUAGCAUGUGUUUUAUUUUGGGACGAAGUGGGUUGGGUUGGAGCCGACCCACUUUUGCGGGUUGGAGCUAACCCAUCUUAUGUUUGGAUGAAUGGUUGGAGCCGACCUAGUAUUUUGUUUGGUUGGAGAGGUUGAGAAGGUUGGAUGGAUGUCCUUUUAACACCGUUAGUGGUGGGUCCCACCUGUCAACCGUAGGACCUACCUGUCAGCCUCUGUUUUUUUCCCUCUCCCUCCCAUCUUCUUCCUCCUCUCCUCCCGCACGGCUCCUCCCCGGCCGGUCCUCAGCCGCCGACGCGCCCCCCCCCCCGAUCCUGCUCCCUGCGCCGCCGUCCCCCAACUGCGCCGCCACCCCUGCCUCCCCAGCUCCGCGCGCGCCGCCCCGUGCCUCCCCAGCUCCCUGCGCCGCCGCCCCUGCCUCCCCAGCGGCCCAGCUCCCUACGCCGCCGCCGCCUGCCCAAAUCCCGCCGCCGCCGGCGGCCUCAUCUCCCUCCCCGCACCGGCAUGAGGGGCCGCGGCCAUGGGGGCGUCGCAGAGGUGGAGGACCUGCGCCGCCAGCCAUGGAGUAGGCGGCUCCGCCACCACCUUCCUGCGCCCGCCACCGCGCCACUCGUCCCCGGUCCCGGCUCCUCCCAGCGCCGCUCGUCGCCCAGCGGCGACCGCGCCAGCGCGCAGGCGAGACGACGGAGCGAACGGCGUGGGACUGGGUCCGCGCGGUCCCUCCAAAUCGGCGGUAUGCACUCGACCCGGACAAAAGGGGAAUAUUCCCCGUCUGGGUCGAACCCAACCCACUCCGUUCUGAACCAAACACGGGACGACGAGGGUUCGACCCAUUCCAACCCACCUCGACCUAGUAACCAAACACACGGUUAGAGAACCUGAGGAAUCAUGUCAGAACAACACUCUAGUCGUUCGAAUCCCGAAAGUGGCUAGGGCAGAUGAAGUGAGGAACUAAGAGCAACUCCAAGAGUAUCCUAAAAAAUUCUUCCCCAAAACUAUGUAUUGGGGAUUCUCCUAAAAAAAAUUUCCCCCAAAAACAUAUCAGUCCACAGCAGAUCGCUAAUAAAUAGCCCCCAAUAUUUCAAACACAGGCCACGUCAUCAUAUUGGGCCCAUCGGAAGGGACGCGCGGGCGUGCGGGAAUCAGGAUUGGGGGAGGAACGCCAACGCUAAAAUAUACACGGUGGCAGGCUGUUUUUUAGCGUCGCUAAAAAAUUGAGGAAGGUUUAGGUGGAUUGUUGGAGUUCAUUUUUUCUCUCUUUUUUCCUAAAAAAAAGUAUUGAGGGUAAGAUUAGCAGUCUCUUGCUCUAACUGGACCAAUUCCACCCGUAAUGUCAUCUCCAAAGAUCGUGUCGAAGGUGGCAGCGUAUAGCUCAAAGGGGUGUUGCCUCAGAUCAUUACAGAUAACGUCAUCAUGGCCUAUGAGUGCCCGCAUUUCAUGAAAAAAGAAGAAAGCGCGAGAUAUCAGAUGAAAAAGAAGAAAGAGCGAGAUCUCGGAUGUCGUGCUCUGAAACUGGAUGUGGGAAGGCUUUUACGAUCGCGUGGAUUGGGAUACCUACGCGCUAUCAUGGUUCCGUUGGGCUUGAUCAUGCGCUUGGUAAUUUUAUUUAACGGUGAACGGCUUGAACAAUCUCACUCGUCGAGGGGAUCCGUGAAGAUGAUGAUCCUAUCUCUCCUUAUUUUGUUCCUUUGGCAGCUUAAGAAAUCAAACCAUCGGGUAUUAAAGUGGCUCCGUCGGCUUCGGUGGUAAGCCGCCUUCUCUUCUGCGGAUGAUAGCAUGCUAUUCUUCAGAGCAAAUAGAGAGAGUGAUCAAUAUAUGCAUUCCCAAUUACCCUUAAUCAUUUCACCACCGGAGUAAAGUGUGUUAAGUGCUCAGUUGGAAACUUGUACAAAAUAAUCAAGCACUGGUAGAGGUCGAGAGCAGACUAAAAAGUUAAACCCCGUCCUUGUGUUUCAUCUUCUUUGUGUCCAGUGGAUUUCUUUCUGCCACUCUAAUCUCCAUUAUAACUUGCAAUUCUAUCGCACCACCCGCUGUUGUUUCUUUUCGGCGGUCAAUUGCCUAUAAAUAACUUUAAAGUACAAACAAAAAAAA
rnacentral:lncRNA from 1 species